AUGGAGGGAUGGUGGAUGGAUAGGGUGAUAGGGAAGGUGGGGAAGGUGGGGAUGAAGAUGAUGGAGGUUGGGUGACAGGGGAAUUGGAAUUUGGAGUUGGGGCAUAGGGGUAGGGUGAUUGAGAUGUUGGGGAAGGAGUGUUUGGAGGUGACGGAAUGUAGGGAGGUUGGGAAAUGGGAGAAGGAGUGGUGGAUGGUGGUGUGGAAAUGUAAGAAGGUGGCUGGGAUAUUGGGGAAGGAGUGGUGGAUGGUGGUGUGGAAAUGUAAGGUGGCUGGGAUAUUGGGGAAGGAGUGGUGUUUGGAGGUGAUGGGAUGUAAGGAGGCUGAGAUAUUGGGGAAGGAGUGUUUGGAGGUGAUGGGGUGUAAGGAGGCUGGGAAGUAGGAGAAGGAGUAUUGGGUUGUGGAGGCACAUAAGGUGACUGAGAAAAGGGUGAUGGGGUUAUUGGAACAAAGGGUGGUUGAUGAUGAGGGGAAGGGGUGUUUGGAGGUAGAGGAGCAUGGGGUGGAUGGUUAUUAGGGGAAGGAGCAUAAGUGGGAGAAGGUGUGUUGGGAGGUAUGGGAGCAUAGGGUGGUUGAGCUUUGGGAGGAAAGGGAAGAUUAGUAGGAGGUGAAGGUGCUUCUGGAGGAGUAUAAACAGGGGGAGGAGUUUGAUGAGGUGGAUAAGGAGCUUUUGGAGGAGAAUAUGGAGGAGGCUCUCUCACAGCCAACACCACAAUAAUAAGUUUCUGACCCUUCUCACAAUUAUAAUCUUUUCCACUGAUGAAAUAAAAGGGACCCGAACGAUCAAACUGAAACUGGGAGGCACCAUCCUCAAACUUCUUGAUCGGGUUCUUCUUGUUACAUUUCUCAUAAUCCUCUUUGUUCACCACCAAAACCGAGUCCGAUCCCUUCUUGUACUUAAAAACUAUGAACAGGAAAAAACAUACAAGUUAAAAGCAUUCAUUCAGAAGGCAGAAAAAAAACUGGAAAGCUUUAGAAUGAAAAUGAACUGACCAAGAGUGUCACUGACUUGGAACCUCAUCCUUUCAGCCCAGUGAUUGUAAUUCUCAGAAGGGUACAAAAGCCACCCAUCUUUUCCACCAACGUUGAAGGUGUAUGCCUGAGACCCCGAGAGGAGACUGAAAAGAAACGACAAGAGACAAAAAACACUAAUCCGAAGCUCCAUGUUGCAGAGAGAGAGAGGAGAGAGAGAAGGAAGAGAGGUGUAGAAAGAAGUGAUGAAAUGGAUUGAUAUAAAGAAAGUGUUGUCCUUGGUUACCGUUGUUGGGGUGCUUGUAGUGUAGGACCAGCGAAGCGUGUUAAACGCGGUGGGGGGGUUUACGUGGGAAGACUAAGACUUACAUGUGGGCAAAUGAUAGAGAAAGAGAAAUUAAAGUUUGAGAAAGUUUGUUUAAUAUAAUAAUAUAUAAUAUGCAGCUACGUGCCACACUUCCCAGCACUGCCAUCUAUCACCAUUCGGACUCAUUUUAUUUUGAAAUUUCCAACCUCACCGAUGCUAUAUGCUUUCUACACAUUAAAAUGUUUCAAAAACAAUAAUAAUAGAAAGAAAACCAAAUCACGGAACUCUAUUGUUUCUGGUAUAUCCAUAUGCUACACUAUUCCGAUUCUCAUUUCAGACCCAUUAAUAAUUCUGCUAUUCCAUGCUUAGAUUGUUCCAAAUCAUAUACUGUAUCAAACAGAGACAGGGACAAAUUUUAAUAGGUUCUUGCUGAUUAACAAAUAUUAAAUUGUUCUCUAUCUUUUGUUCACAUAUAACCUGUGAAGAAUAAAUAGACGGAUUUUAAUUUUUUUCAUAAAGAUUAAAUAUGAAAAUGGUGUGUGUCUGCUUUGAGAGAGAUUAGCAACUAUUGGAAGAGCAUUUGGAUCGUCAAUCUACAGUUAUGCCUUUGGUCCACAAUGACUAUAAUAAAAUUUGAUUUAUUUAAGAAAGAGUAAACGAUAAUUAAGUUUCCAAAGAAAUUAAAUAUUAUUUUAAUUUCACUGUAUUUUAUUAUUAAGUUUUACAAAAUUAUUUUAUUAAUAAAAAAUAUCUUAAAGACCAAUUCCACAUGAACUUAGAUAUUAUUUUAUCAUAAAACUACAGUUUUCUGGAUCAAUUUGAAAAAGUAAUAAAAAUUUAUACUUUUUCAAUAAUUUUAGGUAUAAGUAUCUUGUCAUAUCAGUUAGAAAUGUUAGAAAUGGUCAUGAAAAAAAUAUUAUUAAAAAAAUAUAAAAUAUUAAGUUGAACGUUUAAAUAUGUUUUUUUUAUGUAUUUUUACUUAAAAAUAGCUUCUUUUUAGUUUAAAUUUUUAGAAUUUUUAGUUAUUUGUAAUAAGGGGACUAGAAUAAGUUUUUAUUAAUAUUUUUUUAUAUAAUAAUAAGUUAGUAUGAAAAUAUUUUAUCAUUCUGAUACAUAUUAAAAAUCUAUUCUGAUACGUAUUAAAAACCGGUUUAUCAUGUAGAAAAAAAUAUGAUAAAAGAUUAAUUUCAAUAGUUUCUUUAUUAUAAUAGUCUAAAAUUUAGAAUAGAAAAUAAAAAUUUCUGUGAAAUAAAAGUACAUUUAAUCCUUAAAUUUAUAAAGUUUUUAAUUAAUAAAAUAUAAUUUUAAAAUUAGUUUUUAUUAUUUAAAAUUAAAGGCAAAAUUAGUCAUUUACUAGUUAAGAAAUAAACCUCUAGUCGUCAUCCUUUGUUUUUUUUUUAGUCAAAACGUAUGCUUUGUUUUGCUUUUUCAUAGACUGUUUGGUACGUGAAAUUGACUACCCAGUUAGGAGUUAAUCAUCACAUCCACUUUACAUCAUGUUUUGCUUUUAUUAACAUUUUUAUUAAGUGAUUAGGUUUUUUCAUUAGAUUAGAUGACAAGUGUAAAGUAUUUAAAAUUUGUAUGAAUAACUAAUUUCUAUCAUUUACCCACUUUUAGAAUUUUAGUAGAAUAUACAAGUAUUACUUAAUAAAAAUAUUUUAUAUUAAAAAAAAUCUAUAGUUUUAAAAAUUGGAUUCCUUUUAUAAGAAAACAUUAAAGCCAAACACACCUUAAUUAUUACAUUUUGUGGAUGAAUGUUGACCUAUUUAAAAUUUGUAUGAAUAACUAAUUUCUAUCAUUUACCCACUUUUAGAAUUUUAGUAGAAUAUACGAGUAUUACUUAAUAAAAUUAUUUUAUAUUAAAAAAAAUUCUACAGUUUUAAAAAUUGGAUUCCUUUUAUAAGAAAACAUUAAAGCCAAACACACCUAAUUAUUUCAUUUUGUGGAUGAAUGUUGACCUAUUUAAAAUUUGUAUUAAUAACUAAUUUCUAUCAUAUACCCACUUUUAGAAUUUUAGUAGAAUAUACGAGUAUUACUUACUUAAACUAUUUUAUAUUAAAAAAAAGUCUAUAGUUUUAAAAAUUGAAUUUCUUUUAUAAGAAAACAUUAAAGCCAAACACACCUUAAUUAUUACAUUGUGUGGAUAAAUGUUGACCUAUUUAAAAUUUGUAUUAAUAACUAAUUUCUAUCAUAUACCCACUUUUAGAAUUUUAGCAGAAUAUGCGAGUAUUACUUAAUUAAAUUAUUUUAUAUUAAAAAAUAGUUAUAGUUUUAAAAAUUGGAUUCCUUUUAUAAGAAAAUAUUAAAGCCAAACUCACCUUAAUUAUUACAUUUUGUGGAUGAUUGUUGACCUAGAGAAAGCCAUUAGAAUCCCAUCUAAUCUUGUACUUGGAAUUUAUUGGUGAAGAGUAGAAAUUUCCGAUAUCUGAAUAACAUUAUUGUUUGGUACAAUAACGUUACCAUAUUUUAAAUUAGUAUAUAUGAUGGGACAUGAACACUUAUUUCCUCUAAAAUCUUUAUUUUAAAAAAUCUCCAAGUAAAUUACUAAAAUGACAUCAUUUUUCAUUGAAACUCAAAUAUGCCUUUCAAAUAUCAUUCACAUUUUGUUCCUAUCUUAAAUAAUCUUUUCCAUUUAUACAAUGUGUGAUAUCACUCACUUAUCUUAUUUAAUUAACAUCUAGGUACUUAAUAGUAUACUACUAAUUAAAACGCGUCACUUUACCGUUAGUAUUUAAUAUUAGGUUAUAGGCAUGCUAAGAAUGAUUAUAAGUGUAUUAUUAAUAUUAACUCUCCCUCCCUAAUAUGGCUGUAUCAUUUCUUCCUCUCAUUGAUUGUUUAUUCAAUAUCAAUCUUGUACUCUCUUUUCUUAUAUUUUUUAGUAAAAAUAAACAUAAAACAUUUAUUUUAAUUGUCACAAAUUUGUGUAUUUUAAAAUGAGUUAUAUAGUAAUGCAUUCACAUUAUACAAUAAUUUUAUUUUAUCAUAUAAUAUUAAAUAAAUAAUAACUCUUAAUAAUUUCUAAAAUAGAUAUUGAUAAUUUCAUUUUAUCAUAAAAUGGUUGUUUAUAGUGAUUUACUAUUCACAGACAACCGAGAAUAUGGGGUAAAAUGGGAGAAUGAAGGGAAGGUCAAGAAAAAUUAGUUAAUGUGAUUUUUUCAAUUUUACCAUUUUUUUAUAUAUUAAUUAUUACAUAAAUUUAAUUAACAUUAAUAUUUUAAUAAAAUAAUAAUAAUUAAUAAAAUUUGAUGGAGGUGUGCCUUCAUCCGUAGCUUUUCUUUGGUGGAAUUGGCGGAAACAUUCAUGGAAGAAGACGAGCAAGGAACUCAUGAAGAGUGGUGGACUCCUUGAAGGUGCAUGCUAGGUGUGGAGAGUGAGUGGUGAGGCCAUCUCACUUGGCAAAGAUGAAGAAUGAAGAUUAAAAUGUCUAUCCUAGAGAGGUAGGAGACAAGAAGCAAAAUUGGCACAAUUUUGGCAGCAAUUUGCUCGAGAAUAAUCUUGCUAUUUCAUGACCCAAACACCUCCUUAUAUAGGAUUGGAGGGUCAGAAUUGGAAGAGUCAAAUACAAAUGAAAUACAAACUAAAUAAAAUGUGAUGCAUUUGGCGCCUAAUUUGAGACUUAGCACAUGGAGCAUGUGAUGGAAAGCUUUUAAGCACAUGGAACAUGUGCUUUCUUCUCCAAGGCUUAGUCAUAACCGACCUUGGUUAAUUUAGGUGUUCAAAGAACCCUAAUUUAACCAAGGUUGGUUUUUAGGUACCAAAUUUCACCUAAAAAGAAAUUACAAGUAAAAUUUCCUAUUUUACUUUAACAAAAUUAAAUCCUACUUCUUACACUAGAGUUUAUGGCAUUUUAAACACGUACAAGAAGGUUUCUCUGCCAUCAGUAGCAGUAUUUCAAUCAUUUUGAUCCUUCUUGGCCAUGACUCUAGUGGUAGGCCCAAAUCUUCUCUUUGUUGGGCUUGCACUUGGACUUGUCCUUGGGCCUCUUCCAUCAUCCCCUCCCUCUUGAAAAGGAUUUGUCCUCAAAUCCAAUGCUUCUAUUUCUUCUUCUUCAUUACUUCCUACAAAAGGCAUUAAGUCCACAACAUUAAAAGUAUGAUGAACUCCAUAUUCUUUUGGUAAAUCAAGAAUAUAUGCAUUGUUGUUGAUUCUUUUGAGGACUUGGAAGGGUUCGUCACCUUGGGGACUAAGUUUGGACUUCCUCUUAGUUGGAAAUCUAUCUUUCCUAAGAUGAAACCAAAUUAAAUCUCCUUCUUCAAAAAUUAUCUCUCUCUUCCCCUUAUUGUUAUGUUUUGUAUAUUUCUCAGUUUGCUGAUGUAUUUGUUCUUUAACCCUCUCAUGCAUUUUCUUAACAAAUUCAGCUUUUAUUACUCAUUCCUUAUGCACAAAUUCUUGUGGAUUAGGAAGGGGCAACAAAUCUAAAGGAGUAAGAGGAUUAAAUCCAUAAACAACCUCAAAUGGAGAAAUAUUAGUAGUUUUAUUAACUACUCUAUUGUAUGCAAACUCAAUAUGAGAAAGAUACUCAUCCCAAGAUUUAUGGUUGCCUUUCAUGACUGCCCUAAGCAUAGUACCAAGAGAUCGAUUUACAACUUCGGUUUGUCCAUCCGUUUGAGGAUGACAAGAAGUUGAAAAUUCAAUUUGGUUUCAAGUCUUGCCCAAAGGGUUCUCCAAAAAUGGCUUAUAAAUUUUGGAUAUCUAUCGGAGACUAUGCUUCUAGGUAGUCCAUGAAGUCUUACCACAUCUCUAAAGAAAAGUCUAGAGAUAUUAUUUGCAUCAUCCACUUUGUGACAUGGUAUAAAAUGUGCCAUUUUACUAAAACGAUCCACAACCACAAAAAUGGAAUCAGAACCUCUUGCAGUCUUAGGAAGUCCAAGAAUAAAAUCCAUACUAAUGUCUUCCCAUGGAGCACUUGCAAAAGGUAAAGGAGUAUAGAGUCCAUGAGGAAUUGUUUUAGACUUAUCUUUUAAACAUGAUAUACAUCUAAAACAAUGUCUUUGGACGUCUCUUAUCAUAUGUGGCCAAAAGAAUUUUCCUUUUAAAAGCUCUAGAGUCUUAUCAACUCCAAAAUGGCCCAUGAGACCUCCUUCAUGAGAUUCUUUUACAAGAAGUUUUCUAUGUGUUCCUUGAGGUAUACAAAGUUUUCCUUCUUUAAAAAGAUACCCCUCAGACACAAAAUCCUCCUUUUUCUCUAUGUUCUCAUUUAACAAAGAUGGAUGUAAAAUCAUGAUCUUCUUUGUAGAGUUCAAUUAUGUUUUCAAAUCCAAGAAUUUGGGCUCCAAGUUUUGAAAACAGGGCAUGUCUCCUUGAGAGAGCAUCGACCAUAAUGUUUGUACUACCCUUCUUGUAUUUGAUAACAUAAGGAAAUUGUUCAAGAAGUUUCAUCCAUUUUGCAUGUCGUUUGUUCAACUUAUGUUGACCUUUCAAAUAUUUUAAAGGCUCAUGAUCACUAUGAAUGACAAAUUCUUUAGAGACUAGAUAGUGCUCCCAAGUCUUUAAGGUCCUCACAAGUGCAUAAAGCUCUUUAUCAUAGGUGGGGUAGUUGAGAGUGGCUCCAUGAAUUUUUUCGCUAAAGUAAGCAAUUGGAUGUCCACCUUGCAACAACACGACACCUAUGCCUACUCCCGAUGCAUCACACUCUAGCUCAAAAGUUUUUGCAAAAUUUGGUAAAGAUAGAAUGGGUGCAUUAGUGAGUUGAGCUUUUAGCCUCUUGAAGGCUUGAUCUUGCUUCUCGGUCGAACAAAAUGGAGUGUCUUUCUUCACUAACUCAUUGAGUGGCUGAUGUAACCCAAAAAUACAUAAAGAUGACCAAGGAUGUUAUACUUGAAGGGUCAUCUAAAUAAGGAAAUAAGAACUUCAUCAAUAGAAGAAAUGGACGAGGCCCAAAGCAUUUAAAGUUCUUCUUAUUGUCUUCUCAAAAGAUGAGGCCCAAGCCCAAUUAAUAUCUUUUGUAAUAUUUUUAGAAUAGUUUCAAGAUAGAACAUUAAAAGGGAAGUAAUAGGAAAAGUCACUUUUCUAGAAUGAGGAAGUGACUUGAAAAAGGGUGGCAUUUACCUUGUCUUUUCAUAUGCCUUGCCUUUUCAUUUACAAGUGACUCUUCAUGUAUUUUUACCUUUUCAUGACCGGUUCUCUAUGCCUAUAUAAAGAGGAGCCUUGCUUUUGUAAACACAAGUUGAAUCUUUUAGUAAAGAAAGUAUACCAAAUUGGUGUGAGAGAGUUUGUGAGACUAGUUCUCCUCUCUUCUUCCUAGUCUUAUCUUGGGAGAUUCUUGGAACUCUCAAGUGGCGGCAUCCACUCAUCUUGAAGCUUCUCCACCCUUCAAGUGGCGUGAACAUUCCAAGGGUCAUCAACCACAUAAGUUUCUUCUACCUUUUCAUGUUCUUCUUCCAUUUCCAUGUCAAUCAAAACUAUAAAACAUGUGUCUUUGUUGUUCUUGAUGUUUCAAGCAGUAGAAAUGUGUUAGGUUCUGCUUUUAAUUGGUUCAUUGUAAUUUCUCGCUGUUGUAUUCGGUUUAUAUGUGCUUAAUUGAUAUUUCAAUCGGUGCAUUUGUCUCCUUUUCACAAAUCAAUCGGUUCAUGUUCUUCUUAUGGGUUUCUAUGCGGUUUUGGCUUGGUUUUUGUGUUCUUGAAUGAUUAUAGAAUCUUGAUCCAAUUCUUGAAAAUGUCUUUUCAUAUACCAACUCAUAUCAGUGGUGAAGCUAGACUUGAGAAGUUAGGCACAAAUCUUCUAUAAAAGCUUGCUAAUCCAUGAAAACUUCUAACUUCCCCUACAUUUUGUGGAAUUGGCCAUUCUUGGAUGGCUUUGAUUUUUUCGGGGUCAACAUGUACCCCAUUUUUGUUAACUAUAAAUCCUAAAAAUACUACACUAUCAACACAAAAAGUACAUUUAUCUCUAUUAGCAAACAAACUAUUAUUCUUAAGCACUAGGAGAACUUCCCUAAAGCGACUUAGGUGAGAUUCUAAACUUUUGCUAUAUACUAAAAUAUCAUCAAACUAAACUACUACAUAUUUACCUACACAAUCCCUUAAGACAUGAUUCAUUAGCCUCAUGAGAGUGCUAGGAGCAUUAGUGAGCUCAAAAGGCAUCACUAACCAUUCAUAUAGUCCAAAUUUGGUUUUAAAAGCGAUUUCCCACUCAUCACCUUCUUUAAUUCUAAUUUGGUGAUAUCCACUUCUAAGAUCAAUUUUAGAAAAUAUGAUGGACCCAUGCAAUUCAUCAAGCAUGUCAUCUAGUCUUGGAAUUGGAUGCCUAUACUUGAUGGUGAUGUUAUUGAUGGCUCUACAAUCACAACACAUUCUCCACUUGCCAUCUUUUUUGGGCACCAACAAGACAGGUACAACACAAGGGCUUAGGAUCUUUUGAACCCAACCCUUAUCCAACAAAUCAUGCACUUGUGAUUCUGUCUCCUUAGUUUCUUCAGAAUUAGUUCUAUAGGCUGGUCUAUUUGGUAGACUAGCUCCUGGAACUAAAUUUAUUUGAUGUUCAAUUCCUCUAAAAGGGGGAAGUCCACUAGAGCCUUCCUUAGAGAAUAUGUCAUCAAAGUCUUUUAAAAGAUCUUUUACUUGAGGAGGUAGAACACAUGUCUCAGUAAGCGUAGCAAUGCAGGUAAGUGUUCCUUUACAAAGUAGGAGGUUUGAAGGUUCUUCAAAAAGAAGUAUUUUUUCGAUCUUAUUUUCAAAUUUUUCUUCUUCUUUCUGAAUGACCUUGUGGGAAGGAACACUCUUUUCCCAUGCCUCUUUUUCCCUAAGGGUUUUUUCUUGGUUUUUUACUCUAUUUUUCUCUUCCUCUCUUUGUUUUCUCAUUUGUAGUUGGUCCUUUAUCACUUGGGAAAAUGAUAAGGGAUAAAGUACAAACUUCUUUUCUUUGUGAGUGAAAGUAAUCUCAUUGGUAAGACCAUUGUGGUUUUCUUAUCAAAUUGCCAAGGUCUUCCCAACAAAAUAUGACAAGCUUUCAUGGGCACUACAUCACACAAAACUUUAUCCUUAUAGUUCCCCACAGAAAACUCGACUUUCACUUGUUGAUCUACAGUUAAAUCCCCAUCUUCAUUGAUCCAUUGAAGUUUGUAAGGUUUUGGAUGAGGGAUUAACUGUAGAUUCAACUUUUCAACCAUCCUAGCGCUACAACAAUUGCAGCAAGAACCACUAUCCACAAUGAGAGAGCACACAUUUUCAAAAACUUUACACCUUGUGUGAAAUAUGUUCUCCCUUUGUGUCUCUUGGCUCAUACUAGGUUGAUUGUUGAGGGUUCUACGGAUCAUCAUUAAUUCACCCUCACAUGGAUAAGCCCCUUCAUUAUCUUUUUUUUCUUCUUCCCCACUAGCUUCAUUACUUUAGCUGCUAUAUACUGUUGGGUCUAUUAGUGUCUAAGUUCAAGAGGGGAGGGGUGAAUUGAGAUUAUAAAAUUUUCGCAAGACCACACAAUUUUUCAGUAUUCCAGAGGCAAAAAGAACAGAUUGUUUUUACAUGAAACAGAUUGAUUCUUCAGAGCAGUCUUGGCACAAUUUGAAUUUGUUCAAUGUAAAAUUGUGAUCAACAGAGAAUUAUAACAAAAUCAGAUCAGUUUAAUAUUGUGAGGAUGAAGGAUACAGUUAUGCUUAGAAAUCAAGCAAAAUUACUCAACACAAGGUUUUGAGAGGAAUGAUCCUUUCUCAGGUUUUAAUGAAUGGACAGUUUGUUCACAAAUCACUUAAACCAUUAUAUACAGCAGCCUUGUUUAUGAUCAGAGAACUUUAACAAAUCAGGAAGAACAAUUUUCACUUAAACCCAGAAUUAACAGAUUCAAUUUCAAAAGAACAGAUUUAGUUCUUGACAGAAUUAAACAAAAAAAAAAACAGAAAUGAGUGCAGGGACGAGAAGACAAGGCACACAAGUUUUUAUACUGGUUCACUCAUACAGAGCUACAUCCAGUCUCACCUUACCCCAAGGUGGAAUUCACUAAAAAUAGUACCAAUCACUUACAAACACAGCAGUUCUUGAACACUACAAGAACAACACACACAAUGCUGAAAAACCCUAUUUCAGCACACCUUGCACUCCAAGAAACCCUAUCAAGGAGUGACUAACACUUACACCUUUACAAAACAGAAUAAAGGAAAGAUUACACCUGAAAAGAAGAUGCAAGAACCCAAAACCAGUAGUUCAAUUUGCUGCAGAACUGCACCAACACCUUCACCAAGAUCAAAGGUUUCCUAGAACAAGCACACUUGAAAAUCUCUUUGGAAAACCUUUCAAAAAUCUUUCAAUCCUUCUUCUCACAUGGAAAGUGUUUGAUCUCUGUCAAAAACGUAAUUGCUCAGCCCUACUUUCAUGUGAGAGAGACUUUUCUUUAUAUAGAAAACAGUUUCUAACUUCUUUUCAAAAAAAUAGUUGAAAAGCAGUUAUGAAAACAACAGAUUCAUUUUUGAACUUAACAGAUUUAUUUUGUGAAAACCGCCAACUCAACUAACUGAAAUAACUGUCUGAGUUGUAUCUUUGGUGCCCUAACUAACUUGUGAAAAACCUUUCAACUCACCAAAGAAUAAACCUGUUCUUUCUCAGUGAAACAGAUUAAAAUAUAGCAAACAGGCCAGCUCAACUUUAACUGAAAUAACUGUCUAAGCUUUACCUGUGGUGCCCUAACAGAAUUUUAGAAAAGCCUUUUAACAGAGAAGAAAUAAACAGAUUCUUUCUCCAUAAAACAGAUUUAUUUGUGUACUGUUUUAAAGCUGUUAAAAACAUUUUAAAAAGCUUUUCAAAAACCAUUUAACCACAUCAUGUGCUUGAUCUAGACUUGGUUAGGCAUCUAGGAUGGGUUAUUCAGCAAAAGGCAACCUUACACAAUUACAAGCCUAAUUAUAACCGAAUCUAAAACCUAUUACAAUCUUCAAAGCACUCAAGUUAUUUUCUUCAUCAAACACACAUCAAGCCUUGGUAGGGAAGAAGCUUCCUCCAACUUCAACAUAUACAUCCUUACCCCUUUAAGAAUAUAGUUCUCCUAUUUUGGCAUUGGGAAGCUAUAUGACCUCUUCCAAAGCAUUUAAAACAUUUUUUUAUCUCGGCUACGGGAUUGUGGGGUUAUCACUUCUUUAUCUAUAUUUUUGGGAGUUUCCUUAGAUCUUUCCUUUGAAGUUUCCUCCCUUUUAUACUCUCUCUUGGGAUAGGAGUUAGAAUAUGAACCUUCCCUACGACUUGAAGCUUUUCUUAAGUUUUGUUGUUCAACUUUGAUACAGAGUUGAAUUAAAUCAUUCAAGUGUCUAUAUGGUAAAAGUUAAACUCUAUCUCUAAUCUCAAGAUUGAGUCCACUCAAAAACCUUGCUAUGGUAGUGGUUUUAGACUCCCUAAUUGAGGCUCUCAUCAUGUAUAAUUCCAUUGUUUUGCCUAUAUUCCUCUACACUCAUAGUCUUUUGUUGGAGUCUUUGGAGUUUGUCCAUUAACUCCCUAUUAUAAUAGGAGGGAAUAUGGCGGCGUCUUAAGGCUCGUUUUAGUUAGUGAUCUCGGCUCAGCUAGUCCUUUCUUUCGUGAUGAACUGUUGGCUCCCCUAAGAUCAUUCUAAUACUCUAUGGGAGGGUUCUUAUGAAGGUGCCUAUCUUGCUCAAGGGCAGUCCACCAAUACAUAGCAUUACCUUGAAAGCUUAGGGUGGCUAGGGGUACUUUUCGUUCCUCACUCACUCUAUGGGAAACAAACAAUUAUUCUACCUUCAUUUCCCAAUUUAAGUAAGUUUCUACGUUUUCCAUGGAAAUAAGGUAGAUCUACCCUAACCUCCUUUUCUUGUCUUUCUCUUCUAGCUCUCCUAGGGGGUGGUUGAUAAUAGUAAUUAAUCUAAUAUUUUGUUCCCCAAAAGAUUCAUCUCCCCUAGAGCUAGAUGCAUGAGAACUUUUUUUUGAUUUAUUGUUUUCAUCCCUUUCUUUAGCCAAUUUCAAUUCUUUGAGUUGGGACUCAUUUUGCAAUUGUUUAUAUGAAAGUGAUUGAAAGUCUUGUGCUAAUUGUUUCAAAAGAGUUUUAAUAGACUCUCUAUCACUUUCACUAGAAUGAUAAGAAUGAGAAGUCAUGGUUAAAGUUAUGUGUUAAAAGCAAUUUACUAAAAGAAAUAUAGGUGGAGUAAUGUAGGUAGAUUCCCAAGAAAGGGAGGUGGAUCACUUAAGUACCAAGCCUUUCCUUGCCAGAUUCUAUCCUUCAAGACUUUCACAAACCUUUUUCUAAGUAAUUCACUUAGAACACAAUCAAGAAUGAAAACAAUUUUAAGAAAAACAAUGCAAAGCAAUUAAACAAAGCAAAACAAUUAAACAAAACAAAGUAAUUAGAUAAUACAAUUUGAAAAGAAUUGCUAUCUAGUAAGAUUUAAACUAGGCGUAUCCUAAGGUGAGGCUUCUAGGCACUUAGAACCAUUGAAGACACAUUCACCGUCUAUUACGCAAUACAAAGCAAUUAAACACUUAAUAGAAAAAUUUCUAUCUAGAAAGCUUGUAAACUAGACGUUUCCUAGGGCGAGGCUUCUUGGCACUUUGAACCUUUGAAGACACUCUCACCAUAUAAUACGCAAUUAGUCCACCAAUUAUUCAAGAUUUUGCAAGUUACAACUCAAAGAAAAUACAAAGCAAAUUGAAUUGACAAAAAUUUAGAAAUUUUUAUUCUAUGCAAUUCUUCUUUUCUUUUUGUCAUUCCUUCUUUGUGUAAGUGUUUAAACUCACUUGUUGCUGCUCUCUUGCUCAACCUCUCAAGGAUAUUUAACUUUAAAAAUUCAAAACAGCACCUACUAAGUGAUAAAGCUCUCACAAAAAAUGUUAGCUCCAAACUUAACAAGCACCUUUGAAUGAUUUAUCCACCAAGAAAUGAGGUUAACAAAAGUUAAAGCAACAAAAAUUCAAUUUGAAAUUGGAAAACAACAAAGGGAGUUGAUGUAUGACAACUUGAAAGAGUAAUUGAAAAAAUAUUGACAAGCAAACAAAAUAAGGUACUCAACAAAUGGAUAUCACACAAAUUGAACCUAGAGAAUGACACUAGAAUUGGAUUAACAAAAAUCAAAACAAUACUACAUAAUAUUAAGGUGUCAAAAAGCGUGACUUACUUGAUUUAUGUUGAGCAAAUUAUUUCAAAUUUGAAUUUGAAUUUUUAACCACAAAUAGAUCAAGAUAUUAACUAACUUUUGGCGUUGGAAUCACCAAUUAAUUGUGAUAAAAUUUUCAAAUAUGAUGAUGCUUCACCAUUUUUUUUUCGCGCCAAAAUUGCACACUGAUUGUAUUUGAUUUAUCAUUUUUUUUUCUAUUUUGAAUUUCGCUUCACUUUUUUUUUCACUUUUUUUCUAACACUUCAAACUAUUGAGAUCCAUAAUUUCAUAAUUUUUCUCCAACGAAUUUUAAUUUCAUAAACAAAAACAGCCAGCACAGAAUAAAAAACAGAGGAAGCCUAAUUCUGGAAUUAAAAACAGUUUUAAGAAACUUCAAAAACACAAUAGAAUUAAUGUAUAAUAAGUCGUGUGGAUCUAGCACACAAAUAUGAACUCAAAUCUUAAAAUGCACCAAAGGAUCAAACAAAAAAUUAUAAAUAUGGACUCAAAAAGAAAAUCAAUGAACCAAAAUUAUGAAGAAAAGUACUACAUAAAAGUGUUGACAAUUUAGGAGAAACAUGACUUGACAAAACAUCUAUGGAUUCAAAAAUCAAAAUGACUCAAACACAACAAUAUGAACCGAUUAAAAUUGCAAGAAAGACUCAAAUCUAGCAAAAUUAAAACAGCAACACCAAAACUCAAAGGAAUCCUACACAAAAUUGAAAUUAGAAGCUCAAGAACAAUUUGAACACAUUGCACUGAUUGGAUUUAUCCAAACAGCAUCUAAAACAGUUAAAAUGCAAAAACAACAAGACAAUCAAGGAUACAAGAUGAACAACACGAAAUUAUAAAGAACAACACAAAAUUAAAAUGAGAAGAAGAAGACACAUUUAGCUCUUGAAGAACCUAGGCUCAUGAUACCACUUGAUGGAGGUGUGCCUUCAUCCGUAGCUUUUCUUUACUGGAAUUGGCGGAAGCAUUCAUGGAAGAAGACGAGCAAGGAACUCAUGAAGAAUGGUGGACUCCUUGAAGGUGCAUGCUAAGUGUGGAGAGUGAGUGGUGAGGCUAUCUCACUUGGCAAAGAUGAAGAAUGAAGAUUAAAAUGUCUAUCCUAGAGAGGUAGGAGACAAGGAGCAAAAUUGGCACAAUUUUGGCAGCAAUUUGCUCGAGAAUAAUCUUGCUAUUUCAUGACCCAAGCACCUCCUUAUAUAGGAUUGGAGGGUCGGAAUUGGAAGAGUCAAAUACAAAUGAAAUACAAGCUAAAUCAAAUGUGAAGCAUUUGGCGCCUAAUUUGAGACUUAACACAUGGAGCAUGUGAUGGAAAGCUUUUAAGCACAUGGAACAUGUGCUUUCUUCUCCAAGGCUUAGUCAUAACCGGCCUUGGUUAAUUUAGGUGUUCAAAAAACCCUAAUUUAACCAAGGUUGGUUUUUAGGUACCAAAAUUCACCUAAAAAGAAAUUACAAGUAAAAUUUCCUAUUCUACUUUAACAAAAUUAAAUCCUACUUCUACACUAGAGUUUAUGGCAUUUUAAACAUGUAGAAGAAGGUUUCUCUGCCAUCAGUAUCAGUAUUCCAAUCUUGUUGAUCCUUCUUGGUCAUGGCUCUAGUGGUAAGUCGAGGUCUUCUCUUUGUUGGACUUGCACUUGGACUUGUCCUUAGGCCUCUUCCAUCAAAAUUAAUAAUAAAAUAAAAUUUUAAUACAAAAUAUUUAGUUAUUUAUAAUAAACAAAUUAAUGGUUAUAAAUAUAAUAAUAUUAUUUACAUUUAAUAUAAAAUUAUUUUCUAAUUAUAAUUUUUAUAUAAGAAUAUUUAAAUUAUUUAUUUCUACAUAAUAGUUUAUAACUUUUACAUAUAUUCAUAAUUUUUCGUGUAAAUUAUUUUUUGUCAAGUAACUCGUAUUUUUUUUCGAAAAUAAUUAUUCAAUGUUAUUGGAAAUAACUUACAUAAUUUUAAUUAACCUAAAUCUACAUAAAAAUACAUAAUAUUUGGUUAUUCUAUUUUUUUGAAACAAUGGUAAAUUUAUAAUCUUAUAAUUUACAUCUUUCAGAAAAUCAAAAUACCCUCACAACAAUGACAUCACUCACAAACUUCAAUAGAUUUUUUUCACAAAUUCACUCUAGCAUACUCCAAUCUAAACACAACGACUUUCUUCAUACUUUUCUCUCAAAUCUUUACACAUUCACUCUCUCAAAUCCUCACACUUCCCCUCCUCAAUUUAAACACAACUUAAAAAUUAUUGUUUUAAUUAGUUAACCAAUUGGACUAGAACUCGUGAGUAACAAACAUGGGUCUCAAUAGGCUGCAAUCACCAGGUAUUUUGUAACAGGAAAAAAGAGUGAUUUUGACUAAGAUAGAAAUUAAAGGAAAUAUUUUAUUUAUUAAUUUAUAAUAUAUAUAUAUAUAUAUAUAUAUAUAUAUAUAUAUAUAUAUAUAUAUAUAUAUAUUUAUUAUAUAUAUAUAUAUAUAUAUAUAUAUAUANNNNNNNNNNNNNNNNNNNNNNNNNNNNNNNNNNNNNNNNNNNNNNNNNNNNNNNNNNNNNNNNNNNNNNNNNNNNNNNNNNNNNNNNNNNNNNNNNNNNNNNNNNNNNNNNNNNNNNNNNNNNNNNNNNNNNNNNNNNNNNNNNNNNNNNNNNNNNNNNNNNNNNNNNNNNNNNNNNNNNNNNNNNNNNNNNNNNNNNNNNNNNNNNNNNNNNNNNNNNNNNNNNNNNNNNNNNNNNNNNNNNNNNNNNNNNNNNNNNNNNNNNNNNNNNNNNNNNNNNNNNNNNNNNNNNNNNNNNNNNNNNNNNNNNNNNNNNNNNNNNNNNNNNNNNNNNNNNNNNNNNNNNNNNNNNNNNNNNNNNNNNNNNNNNNNNNNNNNNNNNNNNNNNNNNNNNNNNNNNNNNNNNNNNNNNNNNNNNNNNNNNNNNNNNNNNNNNNNNNNNNNNNNNNNNNNNNNNNNNNNNNNNNNNNNNNNNNNNNNNNNNNNNNNNNNNNNNNAAUUUUAUUAAUAUUAUUUAAAUUAAUAACAUUAUUAAUUAUUGCAAUAAUGUUAUUAAUAUUAUUAACAUUAUUAAAUAUUAUUAAUAUUAUUAAUUAUUAAUAACAUUAUUAAUUAUUACAAUAAUUUUAUUAAUAUUACUAACAUUAUUAAAUAUUAUUAAUAUUAUUAAUUAUUAAUAACAUUAUUAAUUAUUACAAUAAUCUUAUUAAUAUUACUAACAAUAUUACAAUAAUUUUAUUUUUAAGUAAUUCAUAUGAAAUGACAAAAUAUUCUAUUGUAUUAAUAAAAUGAAAUAUAUUAUAUAAGGGUAGAAUCGAAAAGGUUUGUAAACAUCAAAAAAAGGUUAUAAUAAUGGACAAUUCACUUUAUAUAUAGGUAUAAAUUAUUAUUAUUAUUAUUAUUAUUAUUAAUAUUAUUAAAUAUUAUUAAUAUUGUUAAUAUUGUUAAUAUUAUUAAUAUUAUUAAUUGUAUUAAAUAUUAUUAAUAUUAUUAAAUAUUAUUAAUAUCAUAAAAUAUUAUUAAUAUCAUAAAAUAUUAUUAAUAUCAUUAAAUAUUAUUAAUAUCAUUAAAUAUUAUUAAUAUCGUUAAAUAUUAAUAAUAUGAUGAAAUAUUAAAAAUAAUAUUAAAUAUUACUAAUAUUUUUAAAUAUUACUAAUAUUUUUAAAUAUUACUAAUAUUUUUAAAUAUUACUAAUAUUUUUAAAUAUUACUAAUAUUUUUAAAUAUUACUAAUAUUUUUAAAUAUUACUAAUAUUUUUAAAUAUUACUAAUAUUUUUAAAUAUUACUAAUAUUUUUAAAUAUUACUAAUAUUUUUAAAUAUUACUAAUAUUUUUAAAUAUUACUAAUAUUAUUAAAUAUUACUAAUAUUAUUAAAUAUUAUUAAGUAUUACUAAUAUUAUUAAAUAUUAUUAGUAUUAUUAAUAUUAUAAAUACAUUAAUGAUAUUAAUAUUAUUUAUAUUAUUAAUAUUAUAAAUAUAUUAGUGCUAUUAAUAUUUUUUUAUUAAUAUUAUUAUUACUAAUAUUAUUAAUUUUAUUCAUGUUAUUAAUAUCAUUAAUAAGAUUAAUAUUACUAAUACUAUUAAUAUUAUUAGUAACUAGCGGGAACACAGGCACUCACGUGCCUGUAUAUCCGCAUUUUUCAUUUUUACUAUUUAUAUAUUCAUAUAAUUUUAAUAAAUAUUAAAUUAUAUGAGAAGAUGUGUAAAUUAUCUAAAUGCAUCAUUGAUAAUAGUUUUAUUAAGAUUUGAUGUUAAUUUUUUAUAUUUUCAUUUUAUUGUUUUUGAAUAUUAAAUUUUGAUUUAACUUGGGUGUAAUCUUGAACUUUGUAAGGUUAUCAAGAUUAAAAUUAAGGUUUAAAAAAAUGGACCAGCAAACAAUGUCAAAACAUAAUGCAAAUGGUUGUAUGUUGGAAGUUGUAGAAUCUAUCACCAUAUCAAUUGAAUUCACAUCUUCCAUGGCAAAGAAGUGGAAAAAAAAUAAAAUAAUAAACUAAAUACAAAUUACCAAACUUCCAACUUAUGUAAUAUCUAAUAGAUCAAAGCACCAGUAGACAUAAAAACUUUGCCCGCAAAGCUGGGCUUAGGAUUCAUACAAAAAUAUAAAAUAAUUAAGAAAGCAAUAGAAACAAAAAUGUUCAAAUCCUAUAACAAUGAGACACGUCUCUGCUUCGAACGCUUUGGGAAGUGCGAGAAGGAGGAAGCAAUGGUGGUUGUUGUUGUACAGUGGUGAUUGAAGAGGGACUAAGAUGGGUGAGAGUAGGAGAAGAACAUGGAGCGUGAAGGAAGAAGGUUCAAAAUGUGUCAAAAUUUAUGAGCAUUUUUUUUUUGGAUGUAACGGGUGAAAACUACUCCUUAUAAGGAAGUGGAAGAAAGUGGGAUAACCGCUCAACUACUCCUUAUAAGGGAGUGAAUGUAACGGGUGAAAACUACUCCUUCACAAGAAAGUGGAUGUAAAUGGUGACGGUGAAAACUACUGAAGAAAGUGGUAACCGCUCAGUAAUAAUCAAAUUGUUGUCACUGCUCACAUUUCCUAAUAUUUAUUUCUCUCUCAUAAAACAAACACUCCCUCUCAUUAUGCAAUUAAUUUUCAAAAUAAAUUAUCUCUUUCAAUUCAAACGGUUGCUCCAUUUAUUUCAAAUAUUUUAUUAAAUUUAUUUCUCUCUCAUACAACAAACACUCUCUCAUUAUGCAAUUAAUUUUCAAAAUAAAUUAUCUCUUUCAAUUCAUAACCACUCCUCCACCUCUCUCUCAAUUCAUAACCGUUCCUCCACCUCUCUUUCAAUUCAUAACUGUUCCUCCACAUCUCUUUCAAUUCAAAACCGCUUUUCCACCUCUCUUUCAAUUCAAAACCGUCCCACUACGUAUACCAAAUAUUGUAGAAAAAAUAAGAAAGGGACCAUAAUACAAUAAUAAAAUUAAAUAUUAAUAUAAGGAUAAAAUGGGAAAAAAAUUAAGAGCAGUUAAGAGGGGAAUAAGAAAUGACACAAUGACCAUAAUACAAUAAUAAAAUUAAAUAUUAAUAUAAGGAUAAAACAGGAAAAAAAAUUAAGAGCAAUUAAGAGGGGAAUCCCCUUUAUAUAUAGGUAUAGAUAAUAUUAUUCAUAUUAUUUAUAUUAUUAAUAUAAUACUAAUAAUAUUAUAUAUAUUAUUUUAUUUAUUAUUAUUAAUUUUAUAAUAUUAAUGGUUCUCGUCGGUUGAUUUUUUCACCAGUUGACUUUUUGUCGGUUGACUCUGGUGAUAAGCUUUAGCUCCGGUCUGUCUUCUCUGUGCUAGACUUUAAACUAGAGGGGGGAUGAAUGUUUUAAAGAGGGUUUUCGCAAACUUUUAAGUAUAGAAUGAAAUUACUUUGAGAAAACUUGAUUAAGAAUUCAGUUUGUCAAAAACACAAAGCAAUUUAGCACAACACUAGAAAAACAUUCGGUUGUUUCGCAGAAACAAUCGGUUGUUUAUACUAGUUCACAAAUAUAAACUGAAAUUAAAGAUUUCAAGGGUUCGAGAGAUUGCACACACAGGUUUAUACUGGUUCACUCUUAAACCAAGAGCUACAUCCAGUCUUCCCAGAAACCACUGGGGAAUCCACUAAGCAAUCAACCCUAGAUUACUUACAACACCACCAAAGAAGUGACCUUGAUCCCCUCAAGACACACACUUCCUUUGGCUCAGCACAAACACCACCAAGAAUGCUGAUCUUGACAACCUCAAGAGCACACAACACUUCUUAGCUUCACACACAGAGUUUACAGAAGGUACAAAAGGAUUACACUUGUUACAGAAAAGAUCUGAAAUCAAUACAAGAUGAAAAUCCUAUAUCACACUCUCUUGAUCAAAGCAAUCUUCAACUCUUCAAAAGAAAAACCAGUGAAAAACUUCAAAACCUUAUUGUACUGGACCAGAGCACUGGGCUCGGUGCUUAGGUGAUCGGACAUCGGCACCUGUGUGGAGCAGGUUAGCUUGGUGAUCUGGUCGAGUUAAUGGGCCAGUGGAACCCAAGAAUGCGUGUGUUAAAACCCGUAUAUAUGUAAGGCCUAAUCAGCGAGAAAGUGCAUGUGGUGUGUAUUUGGGUCUAGCACAAGUAAAUAUCCCCUAAAGACGCCUAGGCCCAAGAGCGCUAGGGUUUUCAGGGGUAAGCUGCAUGCAUGAUACGUAAAGGUUAGAGCGCCUACAGUGACAGAUGGGCCCCAUGAUGCUGGUAUAUGAGUUGGUACCCUGACAGCCAUGUUGUUAAGAUUAUGCACUCCAAAGAGGAAGAUUUUGCGCGAUUGUUACACUAAGAUUGUGUGACAUUAUAACAGAAUGCCCUCCCAUCAUACCUGCUUUCACUUGAGAUAAAGUCUCGUGAGAGAAGGGUUGUUACAAUGAAGUAACCUAAAAGUAGUCUAUAAAAGGGACUCGAGAUCCCUAGUAAAGGUACACCGUUUCUAAUGAAACUACUUGCUUACUUACUCAUUGUUUCUUAGCCCAGUACUGAAUUGAUUGUCGGAGUGCAAUCAACAGGUAGGGCCCCCUCUGUUUCAAAUGGAGCCGCAUUCCAACGUCCCCGGGAAAGAGCAAAUCCAGCAGAGGCAAACAGAGUCACAACCUACUCUCAGAGUCAACCGACUACUAGGUCAACCCACAAGAACAUUUGGCACCCACCGUGGGGCCUGAUAAAACUAGGUCCCAUCCACAGUUGUGAUCAGAGCUAUCAGGCGAUAUGAGGAAUACAAGACAAGGCACCGCUGGACAGGAAGAAGGCGACAACGUUACCAUGCAAUAACUCAUGGAAACUAUCCACACUCUUCAGUAGACAGUGGAGGCAUCCAAGGCUGAUUAGGAAAGGGUUUUGGUUGAGGUUCGAGCUAAGCAGGCACUUAGGAAAGACCAAUUCAGGGUCGAGUUGGAUGCGUCGCGGACAGACAACGAAGAUUUACGCAUGGCCAAUAGGAUUUGCGGAGAGAUUUGCAAUGCUUAGGGGAACACACGGUAGGGGAGCAAAACCCGCCUAUCCCAGUCAGGGCUUGCCCCAUGCCAUUCUCCCAAGCGAUCAUGAAUGUCGUGAUACCUACCAAUUUCAUGACCCCAAAAAUCACUUUCACAGGUACUGAAGACCUGGAGGCCCACAUCACAACUUUCCACACUCAGAUGAUGAUCUCGGGAGGAACAGACGCCAUGCAUUGCAAGUUAUUUAUGGGAACGUUCGUAGGCAGAACAUUGGAUUGGUUCAUCAGUCUCCCCGAUGGACACAUCACCUCGUUUGAUCAAUUCUCUACAUUUUUCAGGGAGCAGUUCAUUGUCAACAGUGCUCCACCCCCUGUCUCUUUCGACCUCUUUGAUGUGAAGCAAUACCAGGGAGAGCCCCUUAAGGACUUCCUGAAUCGGUUUGGGGCGCUGGUUGUAAAACUACCAAGGAUGAAGCUAUGAUGGUGCAUGCCUUCAGGCGGGGAAUUUUGUCAGGGCCCUUCAGCGACUCUUUAAUAACGUGUCAACCAAAGACGUUUAGCGAGAUUCGGCACCGAGUUGUUGCUCACAUCUGCACAGAGGAAUAGGAAACAAAAAAACGUGGAAGCGUUGGACCGACAAGACCUCGGGAGAGCGGUCGUGCUCAACCCAUAAGUGAUGGAGAUCAAGAUCAAGACCAAAUGUAGGCCAAUACUCAAGGACAAGAAGAGGAAGAGGCUCAAGUGUUAGACGCUCAAAGAGUUGGUAGCCCACCUCAAAGGCUUACAAGAAGUCAAUUCAAGGCAUUAGGAAAUAAUGGAAUGUUGUUUUCUCUUUUUGUAAUAUCUUUGUGUUAGAAGGUGCUUAGAGGGAAACAUAAGACACCUCUUUUGUAAAAGCAUCUUUAGGUCUUUAGUUUAGGAAAAAAAUAGGAAGCUUGGGGGGUGUGAGCUUAGUAGAGGGGUGUAGGCGUAAUAGGGAGGUGCCAAACUAAGAAAAGAAGUCACACCUUCCUCAUGCUCUAAGUUGGCGCCACUUUUAUGUCAUUUGGGGGGUAAUUUGAGUUUAAUUAGCUUUUCAUUUCAGCACCUCUUAGGCUAUAAAUAAAGGUGUUUGCCUUUGUAAAAUUCAGAUUGGAAAUUGGAAUUAGAGAAACUCUACUCAAUUUGAGAGAGAAUUGUGAGAACUUGUCUUCUCCUUCACCUUGUCUUAUCUUGAGUGCAUUUGGUUCUCUCAAGUGGCGGCACUAGCUCACUUAUCUUGGAGCCUUCACCAUCCAAUUGGUGUGAUCAUCAAACCAAGUCCUUCAUCUCCAUAAGUUCUUCUUUCUUUCAUCUCCUAGCUCAUUUGAAUCUAAAACAUGUCUUAGUUUACUUUUCUAGCAUUUUCAUUCGGUAUUCUAGCUUGUUUCUGAAUUUGCUUCGGUUCAUCUUCUCCUUGGCUGUUCCUAUUUGAUUCUUCUUCAUUUCUUGCAUUUUGUUCGGUUCAAUUUCAGCAUUGUAGCUUUCUAUUCGGUCCUUUUUCUUUUAUACACAAUUUAAUCGGUUCAAUUGGCAAUAGAUGGAUCUUCCAUAUGAGUUUGGUGUUUGGUGCAAGUUUUGGUGAGUUCUUAAAACAUAGAACAUUGAUCCAAUUCUAUUAAAAGUGCCUAAGCUAUCUCCAACUCAAGUUGAUUCCAUAGAAUGUCAAAGAAUCAUCUCUAUUUGGCUAGUGGAAUCAUAUCAUGUGGUAUCUAGAAUUUAGGUUUGUUCUUGUUUAAUUUUGAGUUGUGUUGCACUUUAAUUCAAGAGCUCUAUAAUUCUUGUUGUUUACCUUUCUGUUUUUAGGCUUAUUUUGAGUUUUAUUGCUGUUUUCUUAAUUGUGCCUAUCAUGUGUUUGUGUAUUUUCCUUUUUGAAUCCAUACAAGUUUUGUCAUAGUCAUGUUUUUCCAAGAAUGUCAUCACUUCUUGUAGUACUUUUAUUGAAUUUUUUGUUUCUUGCUUUGGUGUAAUACAGUUUUCUGAGUUUGAUACUUGAUCCUUUGUGCAUUUUCUGUUUUAGUUUUGAGUUCAUACUUGUAUUUUAGAUCUAUACAAGUUCCUAUACAUCAUUUCCAUUAUGUCUUUGCUAGUUCUUAAUUCUGUUUUUCAUUCCUGUUAGGAUUCCUCUGUUUUUCUGAAAACGUGCUCACUGUUUCGAUUUAUUGCAAUUGAUUUACUCACUGGAAAUUUCUGAAAUUAUGGAUUUGUGUUCUUUAAAGUGUUAUAAAAGAGUAGAAAAAAGAAGUACUUAAAAAUUCCAAGUACAAAAAAAAUGAUAAAUCAAAAACAAAAAGUAACCGCCCAAACAUGCGCCCUACGAGCCGAAAAAGCAUUAGACUAGGGCAUGAGCGAAGGGAGACAUGCCUUGUCGACACAAGUUCAGAAUAAAACUCAAGGAGCUUAUCGCUAUCCCAGACGUGGCCGACAAGCUAAAGCCACCCCCAAAGAGUGACAAGAGAUUGGGGCCAAGCAGGGGCACCUGGUGCGAGUUCCACAAGGCCUUUGGGCAUGACUUGCAAAACUAUUUGGCACUUGGAUACUAAUUGGCUAAUUUGGUGAAGAAUGGAUUCCUGAAGGAAUACUUAGAGGAAGGUCAUGAAGCCUCAACGGUGGUGACCUUAGCAGGGAUCAGGGACACAAAGUACCAUUCCAUGGCGAGGUUAACACGAUCUUUGGGGGGUUUCUCAUGAGGAGGAUGCACCACCUCCCAGCGAAAGAAGUAUGUUAUAAGGGUGAUGGCAAUAGAAGCACGGGAACCUGACCAGUCACCUGAGCCCGACCUCUACUUCACGAAGGCUGAUUUACAGGAUGUGGUCCCACAUGAUAAUGACCCAGUGGUAAUUUCAGUGGUGAUAGUAGGGAGAAGGGUACACCGAGUCCUCAUCGACCAAGGGAGCUCGACAUAUGUAAUGUUUUGGUCGACCUUCAACAAAUUGGAGUUGUCGCCCGACCAACUGAGACCUUAUGACGGCUGUUUGUACGGUUUUGCUGGAGACCAGGUAAAAGUAAGUGGGCACGUGGAGCUAAGGACGACCUUCACAGACAACACCACGUCCCGCACCGUCAAUAUCAGGUACCUUGUCAUCAACUUACAACAUCCUUUUGGGAAGACCUACCCUGAAUAGGAUAUGAGCGGUGGCCUCAACGAGGCAUAUGAAGAUGAAGUUGCCUUCCCUCGAGGAAACGAUAAUUACCAUUAAGUCUGACCAAAAGGCGGGAAAUAAAUGCUAUGUGAAUAGCUUGAAGACGAACAUAGAGGUGUGCUCGAUCACCAGCCAGCCUUAGGAGGGAGAAGGGAUCACCCGUGUAGAGAUGGGUUGGGAGAGGCGACCUAAGCCUGUAGGUGAGGUGCUGGAAAGGGAGAUCGGGAGAAAGAAGUUUAAGCUUGGCAAAUCUUUAGGCCAGGAAAUACAGGACCAGAUCGCCGAGGUAAUAACACGACAUUUGGACGCCUUUGCGUGGUGUGCCUUGGACAUGCCCGACAUCGACCCUGAUUUCCUAUGCCAUCAUCUCACGAUGGAUCCAAAGGUCAAGCCUGUUUGCUAGAGGCAGAGGAAGUUCAAUGACGAAAGAUGCCUGGUCAUGAGGCAAGAGACCUAGAAGCUGCUGAGUGCGCCACAUAACGGAGAUCCAAUACCCUGAGUGGUUAGCAAACAUGGUGUUGGUCAAGAAGACCAACGAAAAGUGGAGGAUGUGCGUCGAUUUUACGGAUUUGAACAAGGCUUGUCCAAAGUAUUCAUAUCCGUUGCCCAACAUUGACACACUAGUGGAUAACGCGUCAGGUUGCAAACUUCUCAGUUUUCUGGAUGCCUUCUCAGGAUAUAACCAAAUUCGGAUGCAUCCCCAAGACGAAUGCAAGAAAACAUUCAUGACAGAGCUCUCCAGCUAUUGUUAUACGGUGAUGCCCUUUGGGCUAAAAAAUGUCGACGCGACCUAUUAGAGGCUGAUGGACAGGGUUUUCGCCCCUAUGAUAGGGCAAAACGUGCAGGCAUAUGUGGAUGAUAUGAUCAUCACCUCCCAGGAGAAGGACCAACACAUUGCCGACUUAGAGGAGCUAUUCACCACAAUAGCCAGGUAUAAAUUGAAGUUAAAACCCGAAAAGUGCGUAUUCGGGGUAGAGGCAGGGAAUUUCUUAUGAUUCCUCCUCACCGAGUGGGGAAUAAAGGCGAACCCCGAGAAAUGUGCGACGAUCAUAGCUAUGAGAAGCCUGACCUCGGUGAAGGAGGUACAACAAUUGACGGGGCGAAUGGCCGCUCUGUCCCGAUUUGUAUCUGCAGGAGGAGAUAGAGGGCAUCCCUAUCUCCUGUGUUUGAAGAGGGACAACCGAUUUGUGUGGACAAACGAGUGUGAAGAAUCGUUCCUCAAGCUGAAGAAGUACCUGUCCAGCCCGCCAGUUCUGUGCAAGCCGCUGCCAGGUACUCCCCUCCGUCUGUACUUUGCUAUUACAGAACGAGCGAUCAUAGUCCAGGAGCAGGAUUGCAUCCAAAGGCCUAUAUAUUUUGUUAGCAAAGUGCAGCAGGGGCCCGAAGUGCGCUAUCAGGCCAUUGAGAAGGCGGCUCUAGCAGUAGUAUUUGCAGCACGAAGGCUUCGCUACUAUUUCUAGAGCUUCACGGUGAUCGUGAUGAUCGACCUUCCCAUCCGUAAGGUCUUGCAGAAACCUGACGUGGCGGGACGGAUGGUGUGCUGGGCGGUCGAGCUGUCAGAGUUUGAUUUGCAGUAUGAGACGAGAGGACCUAUCAAGGGUCAAGUUUAUGUUGACUUCUUGGUAGAACUCUCCUUGGCAACCACACACCAAGACAAUGGAGAUUUCCAAUGGGUCCUUUCUGUGGACGGGUCCUCUGAGCAGUGAGGCUGGUAUCAUCCAUGAGGGACAAAACGGGCUACUAAUCAAGCAGGCCCUACGAUUUGCUUUCAACUCUAGCAACAACCAAGCUGAAUAUGAGGCCUUGGUGGCAGGAAUGUUGCUAGCCAAAGAGAUGGCUGCCCGAAGUUUGUUAGUGAAGAGUGACUCACUACUGGUAGUCGGGAAAGUUACGGGCGAGUACUAGGCCAAGGACCCUAGAUGGCCGCGUAUCUAAAGUGUGUCAUGCUCCUGAAAGAGGCGUUCACUGCUUUUGAGUUGGGCACAUUCCCAGGGAACAAAAUGCCCGAGCUGACUUACUGGCAAAGCUCGCCAGCUUAGGCAGGGGGGUCGACAAAGGAAAAUUACCCAGGAAACCUUAAAAGUCCCCAGGACCACCACAGGCGGCGUGGAAGAGGUCCAGCAGGUAAGUGCCUUCGAGGGCGGAAGGAGAGGUCACCGGUCGUUGACCCAGGAAACAUUGAGGGUACCUAAGAUAAGUGCAUAUGACUUGUCAGUGGGAGAAUCGUCGCAUGUUUGCCUGGUCGACGAAGGUGAAACCUGGAUGACACCCUAUAGGCGUUACCUGGCGAAUGGUCUACUCCCACAGGAGCCAACGGAGGCCAAAAUCGUUAAGAAGAAUGCAUACAGAUAUACCUUGGCUGAUGGAAAGUUGUUCAAGCAUGACUUCUCUCACCGUAUCCUGUCCUGUGUGAGUGGUGAGCAGUGCACACGUAUCAUGACUGAGCUCCAUGAAGGUAUCUGUGGGAGUCACAUCGGUGGACGAGCUCUCUCAUCAAAGGCUAUUCGAGCAGGAUAUUACUGACCGACCAUAAGGGAGGAUUGCACGAGGUACACACAAUGGUGCAAACAGUGCCAACAACACGCCAACUAGCAUCAUGCGCCCCCGGAGGCGUUGCGAUCGAUCCAUAGCCCAUGACCUUUCCACACAUGGGGGAUUGACAUCUUGGGUCCAUUUCCCUUAGAAGUUCGCCAAAUGAAGUACCUGGUGGUAGCCAUCGAGUACUUCACCAAGUGGAUAGAAGCUGAGCCUAUGGCACAAAUCACAACUCACAAGGUUCAACACUUUGUAUGGAAGAACAUAGUUUUCCGUUUUGGAAUCCCAAAGCAUGUAGUGUUUGACAACCACACCCAUUUUGCAAGUCAGCAGCUAGGCAAACUAUGCACAGAGCUCGACAUCAAACAGGUGUUCGCCUCGGUAUAACACGCCUAGACGAAUGGACAGGUCGAAUAUGCUAAGUGAGUCAUGCUCAGAGGCCUAAAGAGGAGACUGGAGAAAGCCAAGGGAACUUGGGCAGAUCUGGUUCCUAGAAUUGUAUGGGCCUAGCACACCAUUCCUCAAUCCACCACCAAAGAGACGCCUUUUAGCCUAGUGUAUGGGUCAAAUGCUCUGAUCCCCGUCAAGAUCCAUGACAGUUCACCUCGAUUCCAGAACUUCGUGAUUGAGGAGAAUAACGAGGAAAUGAGGGUAAACUUAGAUCUGCUCGACAAGGUCAGAGAGGAAGCACGCAUCAAGACCGAAGCCUUGAAGAGAAGGGUGGAGUAUAAGCAGAAGUCCAAGCUAAAACCUCGGCAGUUCCGGGUCGCCGACUUGGUAAUGCGAAAGGCUCACCCCUAUCAGUUGGAGAACAAGUUGUCUCCUAAGUGGAUUGGCCCAUUCCGUGUGAUAGAGGUGCUCGGUAACGGAGCGUAUAGACUCGAGAACUUGGAAGGCGAGAUCAUUCCUCGAACAUGGAAUGAGGCUAAUCUUAAAUUUUAUUUCAGUUAAUUAUGCUAUUGUAUGCAGUACGAACGUUUAAGGCGACACUCUUUUCCCCUUAUCAGGGUUUUUUAAAUAGGUCUCCCAAUAAAAGUUAUUUGAAAACUAUGCUUGCAGUAUAUCGUGCUAACAGUGAAAUAUCCCCUUGGUAAGAUUCCAAGAGUGGGAACAGUAGAGUUCAUAGCGAACCUCCCCCUAGUAAGAUUCCAAGAGUGGGAACAAUAGGGUUCGUAAGCGAACCUCCCUUUGGUAAGAUUCCAAGAAUGGGAACAAUAGGUUUCAUAAGCGAACCUCCCCCUUGGUAAGAUUCCAAGAGUGGGAACAGUAGGGUUCAUAGCGAACCUUGUUCAAGAUGGGAAGCUUUGAUGUGCAAAAUCCUCAUGAAGGCUGAAGCUGUGUGAUGUUUAAGGUUUAGGUUUUGGUUUGGGGUUUAGAAUCUUUGUAAAGAUCAGUUUUGAAUCUCAGACAAAGCUCAUUUCAACCAGUUUUAAAGAUUAAAGUGUUUUUCCAUGCAAAGGGAAAAACAACCGAUUAAAGUUUCGAAAUAAUCGGUUGUGUUUAACUUAGCUGGCAAAUAAGGUUUUGAAACUGUUUUAUAACUGACAAGAGCAUUCAACCGGUUAAAUCGUGGUUUUAACCGAUUAAAUGUAUGUCCUUGCAACAGCUUUUUGAAAAUCUAUUUUAAUUGAUUUGGUUGUUUUGAUUUGCUUCAACGUUAGCAUUUCAAGUAUUAUAAAUAUGUUUUUGAUUCAAACGUUUAAAGAUUGAUGAAAUAAAAACUUUAGAUACUCUGAGUUGAGAUUGAUUUGAAAGAUUACAAAACUGCUUGUGAAAAGGUUUUUCAUCAAGUUUUAACAAGAUUGCUUUGUGCUUUGUUGUGGUUCAAAGAACUGAUCAUUAGGGUGCUAGUGUAUUGUGUUGUACCAGGUGUUUUCUAAUCCUGUUCAAGUUCUUGUAAUUGUUCAUAUAACAUUCUGUAUAACUGUGUGAAAUCCUGUAAAGUUAGUGUAAUUCUGGCUUGAGGUGUGUGUUGUGUGUAAGGAGGGUGAGUAGGCUUUGUGGGAUUCAAAGUCACCUCUUUGUGUGUGGUGUUUGUGUAAUCUGUGAUCGGUUGCAUAGUGAAAACUCAGUGAUUUGACUGAGGACUGGAUGUAGCUCUAUGAUAGAGUGAACCAGUAUAAUCUCUGUGUGUAAUUCUCUCUAUCCCUUCUCUCUAUAUUUGUUUGUAUUUUUCCGCUGUCAUAAACAACCGGUUAAAUCACUAUUUUAACCGAUUAAAAUUCUGCUUCUGUUUCUGUUUGGUAAUUUGAUUAGCUUUCUGAAUUGCUUUUCUGGGUUGAUUGAAAAAGUUUUAUUCUAAGCCAAGUAUUUGUAAAAAUAGUUUGAAAACAAUUCAUCCCCUCUUGUUUUAGCCAUCAAAUCUAACAAUUGGCAUCAAGAGCAAGGUUCUUGAAAGUUAUUCAAGUUUUUUGAUUUCUGGUUUUUGAAAAUCUUGAUGGCUGAUAAAUUUUUUUUGGGGAAGGUGCCUCUUUGAACAAACAACCUUUGUUCUAUGGUCAAAACUAUCCUAUUUGGUGCAUAAGAAUGAAAUUCUUUAUUCAAUCCUUAAAUAAGAAUAUUUGGAAUGUUAUUUCAAAUAAUACCUAUGUGCAUAUGCCUGAAAUUAAUGAAUCUUGUAAAUAACAUCUUGACUGUAUGGCACAACAUAUUAUUGUGUCUGCUCUAGACUCUGAUGUACUGCUCAAGAUUUUAGAAUGCACUACAGCUAAAGGAAUGUUGGACAAACUUGAGGAAUUGCACAAGAAUCCAAGGAGUGACUUGGUAGAUAAAGAAGAGUCAUCUGCUGGCUCAAUCUCUUCUAAAAAUAAAGUGGAAGUCUGCUUAAUGACCAAGGGAGAAUCAAAAUCAAGUCAAGUAAGUACAUCCUAUUCUAAUAAGUGUGAAAGUUAUUUUCAAUUUCUUGAUGCUUUCCAAGAAAUUCAUGAGGAAGCUAAGAGAUUAACUUUUUCAAAUAACCGAUUGAAAUGUGAAAACAACAAGUUGAAAAUGAAAAUCACAGUUUUGGAAAAAGACUUGAAUCAAUCAAAAACUGAUUUAGAAAAUUCUGAUUUGAUGCAUGAAAAAUCCUUUUGCAAAUGUGAUUCAAAUUUUUGCAAAACCUGUGAGUCUCUUCAAGAGAAAGUCUUAUAUCUUGUGAAAACAAUUGAUGUUAUUUCGAAAGGAAAAUCAAAUUUUGAAAAUGUGUUGGCAUCCCAAACAUGUGUUUUUGAAAAAUUUGGCUUGGGUUUUAACCCUCAAAGCAAACAAAGUGGGUGCACAAAACCUUUUUCAACCUUUACUAAAAAACAAUCGGUUAAAGCAUCGAAACAACCGGUUGUUUGUUGUUUCUAUUGCAUGAAAAAGGGACACUCUGUUAGGUUCUGCAGAAUCAGAAAGUUCUCUGUACCUAAGGGUAUUCUGAAAUGGGUUCCUAAAGAGCCUAAUGAUUCUUGGAAACAUAUUAACAUCUAUGGACCCAAAUUCACAAGGGGACCAGAUUUAGCAACUUGAUUUUGUUUCUUUUGUAGAGUUGUUUGGAGAGAAAACAACACCUAUGGUACCUAGAUAGUGGCUGUUCAAAACAUAUGACAGGUGAUGCAUCUAGGUUCAUCAGCAUUUCUCUCAAACCAGAUGGUGAUGUAAGCUACGGUGACAAUAACAAGGGAAGAAUUCUUGGCAAAGGUACAAUCAGUAAUGAAAGUAGUUUGCUUAUUCAUGAUGUGCUCUAUGUUGAAGGAUUGAAGCACAACUUGCUUAGCAUCAGUCAACUUUGUGAUAGAGGUUACCAAGUGACCUUUAGGACCAACUAAUGUGAAAUUCGCUUACCUAAUUCAAAGGAUGUUCUUCUCAUUGGUAAAAGAUCUAGCAACAUUUAUCUACUUGAUAUAUCUAGUCAUGCUUCAUUAGAUUGUCUUCUAUCAAAGCAUGAAGAAUCAUGGUUGUGGCAUAGAAGGUUUGCUCAUAUUCAUAUGAAUCAUCUAAAUAAGCUUGUGUCAAAUGAACUUGUUUAUGGCUUACCCAAACUCAAAUUUGAAAAAGAACAUGUGUGUGAAGCAUGUCAAAGGGGGAAACAAACUAGAAAAUCUUUUUCUUUGAAAAACUAUUUCAACUUCAAAACCCCUUGAACUUUUGCACACGGAUCUUUUCGGUCCUUCUAGGACUAUGAGUCUUGGAGGAAAUCUAUAUGGUCUUGUUGUUGUAGAUGACUAUUCCAGGUACACUUGGACACUCUUUCUACAUACAAAGAAGGAUGCAUAUUCAUAAUUUAAGAAGCUUGCAAGGAAACUUCAGAAGACAUGUUGCAGUAACAUAGGAGCAAUAAGAAGUGAUCAUGGAGGGGAGUUUCAAAAUGAAAAGUUCAUUAGCUUCUGCAACAAAUUGGGGAUUUCUUCAUAACUUCUCUGCACAAAGAACACCCCAACAGAAUGGUGUGGUGGAGAGGAAAAACAGGUUUCUAGAGGAGCUUGCAAGGACAAUUCUAAAUGAUUUUGGUCUACCAAAAUGCUUUUGGGCUGAUGCUGUGAGCACUGCAUGCUACUUGAUGAAUCAUGUGCUGAUUAGGCCUAUACUGAAGAAAACACCUUAUGAGUUGCUGAAUGGGAGAAAGCCAAAUGUGAGCCACCUAAAAGUCUUUGAUUGUAAGUGUUAUGUCCUUAACAAUGGCAAAGAAAUUUUAGGUAAGUUUGAUGCUAAAUCAGAUAAAGGUAUCUUUCUGGGUUACUCUCUUAAUAGCCAUGCUUAUAGAGUCUUCAAUAAAAAGCUUAUGACUGUUGAAGAAUCCAUUCAGGUUAUUUUUUAUGAGACUAACAAUUGUGACAAGCUCCAACUAAGAUCAAUACAGAGGAGGAUGAUCAAAACAUCUUUUUAAAGAAUCUUGACAGCAACACUGAAUUUCAACCGAUUGAAUCCUCGAUUCAACCGAUUGAAAAUCUGCAGCAGGAAGAUCUGCCAAAAGAUUGGAAGGUUCCUAAGGAUCUGUCCAUUGACGACAUCAUAAAUCAAAUCCACAGAGGAGUUUCAACCAGAAGGCAUGUGGCAAAGUUAUGCAAUCACUCUGCAUUUGUUUCAAAGAUUGAACCUCAAUCAGUACGUGAAGUUCUGAAGGAUGAAUUCUGGACAGCAGCUAUGCAAGAAGAGUUAAAUCAGUUUGUAAGGAAUGAAGUCUGGACUCUUGUUCCGAGAACCAAUUAAAUGAAUGUGAUAGGUACCAAGUGGGUUUUCAGAAACAAAUCUGAUGACUCGGGCAUCAUUACAAGAAACAAAGCGAGACUAGUGGCCAAAGGAUACAAUCAAGCUGAAGGCAUCGAUUAUGAUGAAACCUUCACACCUGUUGCAAGAUUGGAAGUAGUAAGAUUGUUAUUAGCUUUUGCUUGUAUGAGUGGUUUUAAAUUGUUUCAGAUGGAUGUGAAGAGUGCAUUUCUCAAUGGGAUCGUGAAUAAGGAGAUAUAUGUCUCACAACCACCUGGCUUUGAAGAUCACAAACAUCCAGAGUGUGUAUACAAGCUCAAGAAGGAAUUGUGUGGCCUCAAACAAGUUCCACGUCAAUGGUAUGAAGGGAUAAGUCUUUUUCUUUUAUCUCAUGAGUAUGAAAGAGGUAAAGUAGAUAAGACUUUGUUUAUUAAGAAGGCUGGAACUGAUAUUAUUUUGGUACAAAUAUACGUUGAUGAUAUUGUAUUUGGCUCGUCUAAUGUGAAACUUUGUGAGGACUUUGUCUAAGCUAUGCAGGGGGAGUUCGAGAUGUCAAUGAUGGGAGAACUCUCCUUCUUUCUCUUUCUACAAGUUAAGCAGUCCAAAGAAGGAAUCUUGAUAUGCCAAUCAAAGUAUUGCAAAGAAAUCCUUAAGAAGUUCGAGAUGGAAGCUUGCAAAGUAGCAGCAACUCCAAUGUCAACUAACUGCUACUUAGAAGUUGAUGAAGCUGGACGAGAGGUUAAUCAAACCAUGUAUAGGGGUUUAAUAGGUUCACUUCUUUAUCUAACUACAAGCAGACCAAACAUUAUGUUUGUUGUGUGUCUAUGUGCUAGAUUUCAGUCUUGCCCCAAGGAAUCACAUAUCAAGGCUGCAAAGAGGAUCCUGAAAUAUCUUAAAGGCACAAUAUUCAUGGGCUUAUGGUAUCCCUCUCUUUCUCCUAUACAUUUAGUAGGUUAUUCUGAUUCGGAUUUUCCAGGUUGCAAAUUAGUUAGGAAGAGUACAAGUGGAACAUGCUACUUGCUUGAUUCAAGCCUCAUUUCAUGGCAUAGUAAGAAACAAGCGUGUGUAGCCUUAUCCAUUGCUGAAGUUGAAUAUAUAGCAGCUGGUAACUGUUGUGUGCAGAUUCUAUGGAUCAAAUAACAACUUGAGGAUUUUGGAGUAAAGAUGAGUAAAGUUCCUCUUCUAUGUGACAAUACAAGUGCCAUUAACUUGACAAAGAAUCAUAUUCAACACUCGAGGACCAAACACAUUGAAAUAAGACACCAUUUCAUUCAUGAUCAUAUAGCCAAUGGAGACUGUGAGAUCAAGUUCGUUUCCACAGAAAGACAACUGGCUGAUAUCUUCACCAAGCCUUUAUCCAAGGAUAAGUUCUACUAUUUACGAAAUGAAUUGGGAAUUCUAGAUAUGCAUGCUUUAUCCUAGUUAUAUUCUAUUUUGUUUUGUCUAUUUGAUGAGACAAAUAGGGGGAGAAGAGUUUAGAAGGGUUGUUGGAAGCUGUAAUGUUCUGCUGUUUUAUUCUGGUUUGUUUACAACUUCAACCGGUUAUCUCUGUAUUAUAACCGAUUGUUCUUAUAUGCAUCUACUUAUUUUAAAAUCUGAUAUAUAGUGCAUAUCUGUUUGGACUAGUCUAUUCCGUGUUUGUUCAGUGUUUGCAGGUUUUAACAGAUUCUAAACAAAGAACAUUCCUAAAAGCAUCUCAGGGAUUUGUCUCCAUCAAAUAAAGGAGAUUGUUGAAGAUGGGAAGCUUUGAUGUGCCAAAUCCCCAUGAAGCCUGAAGCUGUGUGAUGUUUUAGGUUUAGGUUUUGGUUUGGGGCUUAGAAUCUUUGUAAAGAUCAGUUUUGAAUCUCAGACAAAGCUCAUUUCAACCAGUUUUAAAGAUUAAAGUGUUUUUCCAUGCAAAGGGAAAAACAACCGAUUAAAGUUUCGAAAUAUUCGGCUAUUUGUAACUUAGCUGGUAAAGAAGGUUUUGAAAUUGUUUUAUAACAGAUAAGAGCAUUCAACCGGUUAAAUCGUGGUUUUAACCGAUUAAAUAUAUGUCCUUGUAACAACUUUUUGAAAAUCUGUUUUAACUGAUUUGGUUGUUUAGAUUUGCUUCAACGUUAGCAUUUCAAGUAUUAUAAAUAUGUUUUUGAUUCAAACAUGUAAAGAUUGAUGAAACAUAAACUUUUGAUACUCUGAGUUGAGAUUGAUUUGAGAGAUUACAAAACUGCUUGUGAAAAGGUUUUUUUAUCAAGUUUUAGCAAGAUUGCUUUGUGCUUUGUUGUGGUUCAAAGAACUGAUCAAUAGGGUGUUGGUGUAUUGUGUUUUACCAGGUGUUUUCUAAUCUUGUUCAAGUUCUUGUAAUUGUUCACAUAACAUUCUGUAUAACUAUGUGAAAUCAUGUAAAGUAGGUGUAAUUCAGGCUUGAGGUGUGUGUUGUGUGCAAGGAGGGUGAGUAGGCUUUGUGGGAUUCAAAGUCACCUCUUUGUGUGUGGUGUUUGUGUAAUCUGUGAUUGGUUGCAUAGUGAAAACUCAGUGGUUUGACUGAGGACUGGAUGUAGCUCUGUGAUAGAGUGAACCAGUAUAAUCUCUGUGUGUAAAUCUCUCUAUCCCUUCUCUCUAUAUCUGUUUAUAUUUUUCCGCUGUCAUAAACAACCGGUUAAAUCACUAUUUUAACCGAUUAAAAUUUUGCUUUUGUUUUUGUUUGGUAAUUUGAUUAGCUUUCUGAAUUGCUUUUCUGGGUUGAUUGAAAAAGUUUUAUUCUAAGCCAAGUAUUUGUGAAAAUAGUUUGAAAACAAUUCACCCCCCCCUCUUGUUGUAGCCAUAAAAUCUAACAAACCUCCCCUUGGUAAGAUGCCAAGAGUGGGAGCGAAGUCUUUCCUUGGUAAGAUUCCAAGAGUAGCAGCGAAUAUCCCCUUGGUAAGAUUCCAAGAGUGGGAACAUUAAGUGUCAUAGCAAACCUCAGUGAAGUCUCCCCUUGGUAAGAUUCCAAGAGUGGGAGCGAAGUCUCCCCUUGCUAAGAUUCAAAGAGUGGGAGCGAGAUCUCCCUUUGGGGGAGUAGUAAGGCUCAUAGCAAUUCAGGCAAUACCUCUUGCUCAGAAAGCUCAGGUUGCCACUUGCACGAACCACAGUAAAACUUCUCUUUAGGGAGUACGUACAGAUAAAGCAAAGCAAUUCGUGCAGGAGGACCUGUUGACCAGCGAGGCUCUCUGAACUCAGGUACCCCAGAGCAUAAGUGUACCAUUGAUUAAUCAGGAGGACCAUGCUACUUACGUAUGGUCGAUCAUUGGUGUUCGAUUAGUUAUUAAACUGAUGAAAGUUGUGUCCAUUCAAGGCAUACACUAUUAUUAAACUAGCCGAAGUCAGGAAGGGAAACAUGCAUAUAUAUAUGUAUGUACACAAGAAAGGUAAGUUGUUCGUUAGAUUACAAAAGGAAGGCAAUAGCAGGGGAGUCCCCUGCGGCUAUUCCUUAUCUACUAGUUGCCCAUCUACGACAACUUUACCUAAUCCUAUCUGGGAGAGAUCCAGCUCAGGGUGCACGCAGGUGACUUAAGCCAUGGCAUCUUCAAAGCCUGUCGUGUAGGAGUAAGCGACAUCGCUCGUCAGCUCGUCCUUGGUCUUUUGUAGGAGCUCAUCCUUCUGUGCCAACUCCUCUUUCUGCCUGGCCACCUCCUCGUCCCUCCCAGCCAACUCUCCCUUCAGCUUCUCCACCUCAGUGCGGGGAUUGUUGUUUCUUGCGUACAACCCCAUGGCCUCUUGGGACUUCCUGAAAAGGAGGGCCUUGGUCUCUUGGUGCACUUUCCAAAGCUCUUCCACCUCCAACGUAAGUCAGGUGACUUGUCGUUUGAGCCCUACAACUUGGAGGGCUUCUUCUUUGGCCAGCUCCUUUGCUUUCCACAGUUUGGAGAGGAGAAAGCAAUUUGCCACUAGGGUUUCCCCCAGUUUCCUUGUGGCGUGCUCCAUCAAUGGACCCUCCUCCAGGCUCUCCAAUCUUCCCUUAAUUUUGGAGCAGAGCAUCAUUUUGUGAAGGAAGGAGACUGGGUCCCAGUGAUCUCACUCUGAAGCACUUUUUCCUCUACCUCAUGCACUGCAAUGUCGCGAGGAGGGGAAAGGCUGGGUGGAAAAUCCCGGUAGGAAGGAGCUCGGCCGCCUGAGGUGGAGUGGACAAAACCUACAGCAGCAUCUGUUCGCUUCCUCUUGAAGACGAGUCCAGAACAAGUUUCAUCGUCCUUAGAAGGGGUGACUUCAGCCACUGCCUUCAAUUUUUGACCCUUGGCAGAAGGGACUUGGGUGGUCUUCUUUUGUUUAGCCAGAGCGGCUAAGUUCUUUCUCUUUUGAGUGUCCAACAUGCUAUAUGCAUGAGAAUGAAAACAAUGAACAGUUCAGAAAACACACACAUGCAAGAUAUGGCUAGCAGGAGUAAAGGGAAGGAGGAUACCAAUGUAUUCCUUAAGGCUUGUAGGGCUAUACUCGUUCUUUAUCAAUUCGGCAUUGCUAAACACUGCCUUGAGGUUGAAGAGGAAGAGACACACCUCUCGUUCUCGCCGGGGUAGGUCUUCAAGGUAUCUGGGUUUUGGAAUUCGGGUUCCUUAGUCCAGUAUAGAGGAAACCCGUCCAGAAGGCUUGGAUCGCUAUCAUUGCAGCGGAUUUUGAAAAACUUACCCUUGAAGCCUUUGUAUGAUUGCAUGAAGAGGGUCAACAAAACUCUCCCAACAACCCCGUUAAAGCUCACCCACAUCUUCCGACCUGAUUUUUUGGCUUCGAAGAAGUAAAGGAAGACGUCCACUGAUAGCAGAUGGCCAAAGUGGUGGCACAAGAUGGAAAAUCCCCGAACAAACGCCCAUCUAUUUUAGUGUAGCUGGGUAGGGGCGGUGUUGAUCUCGGUGAGAAGGGCUCUUUCGAAACUAUGAAAGGGAAGGCGUAGAAGGAGUUUUUUGAAAACAGUAGAGUAGAUGAAGUAGAAUGGGCCAUCUAGGUCCGAUGACUCAUCACAGCAAACAGGUUCAUCUUCCAUACAAGGCAUAACCUUAACGAACUUGUCGUGCUCUUUGCCAAAAAGACAGUUCUUUUUAGGGUGCUCACUCUUCCUAUACAACAUUAUCCUCGCAUGGGGUGGUGAAUUCCGAGGUUUCCUAUAAAAGGUUACUAGAAGCCCAGGGGUAUAGGGUUUCGUAAUCCAUCUUACGAGGAAUCUAAAACAAAGAAAGAAAACAAAUGCAGUACUCAGAGGAGGAAGCGCAUGCGUUUUGAAGAAAGAAGUAAGGAAACAGAAAACAAAGGUAUUUACGGUCAUAGAUACGAGAAAUAUAAACAGUCCCAGCGCAGUUAUGAGCAGCUUAAAGGCAUUGAAAUGGCAGAAUGAAAGCAGUCAUAAGAUAAAAAACGCACCUUGAGAUGAUUGAGGAAAGGAGGCGAGGAGGCUUGUUUGGAGAGGUGAAAGCAGAGUGGUCAAAGAAAAGUGUUCAAAGAGAAGCACGAAGAUGGAAUGAAACAGUGAAGGGAGCGCAAGAAUUGAAGGGUUAACGUAUAAGGGAAGCGCAAGCGGCAACAUUUUCCAACCGUUGAUGAUGGCCACGUGUGCGCUUGUGAGAUAGUAUGGUGAGACGUCACCUCAAAACAAUGUGUGGGUCGCGUCAUUCAAAAGACACGUAAGUCGCCUUAGGCGAGAAGUUAGCCUUUUCACUGGAACAAGUUCCAGCUCGAGCCUGGGGGGCUUGUGUACUGGACCAGAGCGCCAGGCUCGGUGCUCAGGUGAUCGGACAUCGACACCUGUGUGGAACAAGUUAGCUCGGUGGUCUGGUCGAGUUAAUGGGUCACAUAAGUGGGACCUAAGAAUGCGUGUGUUGAAAUCCGUGUAUAUGUAAGGCCUAAUCAGCGAGAAAGUGCAUGUGGUGUGUAUAGUACAUUUGGGUCUACCACAAGUAAAUAUCACCUAAAGACGCCUAGGGUUUUCAGGGGUAAGCUGCAUGCAUGAUACGUAAAGGUUAGAGCGCCUACAGUGACAGAUGGGCCGCAUGAUGCUGGUACAUGAGUUGGUACCCUGGCGGCCAUGCUAUUAAGAUUAUGCACUCCAAGGAGGAAGAUUCUACGCGGUUGUUACACUAAGAUUGUGUGACAUCGUAACAGAAUGUCCUCCCAUCAGACCUACUUUCACUCAAGAUAAGGUUCUCGUGAGAGAAUGGUUGUUAUAAUGAAGUAACCUAAAAGUAGUCUAUAAAAGGGACUCGAGAUCCCUGGUAAAGGUACAUCGUUUCUAAGACUGAAACUACUUGCUUACUUACUCAUUGUUUCUUAGCCCAGUACUGACUAUAUCAUCAGAGUGUAAUCAACAUGUAAGGCCCCCUCUGUUUCAAAUGGAGCCGCGUUAUAACGUCCCAGGGAAAGAGAAAAUCCAGCAGAGGCAGACGGAGUCACAACCUGUUCCCAGAGUCAACAAGAACACUUAAAUUAGCGUAUCAAAAUAUUAUUUCAAUUAUUCUCCAACGGGAUUACUAGUAUAACUGGGCCAAACUCAUGACCCACCUUAUAGGCCCAAUAACCAAGCUGACCUACCCACAAUGUGCACCGAGCUCCGAUCACUGAGCACCGAGUACUCUGUCCAAUACAUAAGACCCCAAGCUCGAGUUGAGCUUAGCUGAGAGAAGUGGCUUUUCGAGUGCUCUGGUAGCUUACGUGGCAGUUCCUCAUUGGGUAGGUGUGGCGUGGCGCAUGAAGCGUUUCUGAGGUGACGUCUCGCCACACUCAAUCUUGAACGUACAUGUGACCCUUAUCAACGGCGGGAAAGCGUUGCCACUUGACAUUCCCAUAGACGUAUAAGCCAACGUUCAAAAACUCACUACCACUCACUGUUUCAUUUCUUUAACUCUUGCAAAACCCUCGCGCUCUUCGAACUUCCUCUGCACCCUCCUUCGAGCACCCAGAAACCUUUAUUGUCUUUGACUUACUUACUUUGCCUAGCCUGAAUAUGUGUGUUUGUAUUCUGCUUGUGUUUGUGUUUUUUUGAUAUACUUCUACAAUGGAUUACAAAGCUUUGUACCCCUAGGCACCUUCAAACCUCUUAUAGGAGACCUUCAUGUAUACCUCCCGUGAGCUUAUAAUGGCCCUUAGAAAGGGUGAAUGCAAGUUUAGCAAAGAGAAUGAUAGAUCUUUUAGGAUAAUCCCAUGUAGGGAGGAUGAACCCGUCUACUGUGAUGAGUCGUCGGAUCCUAAGGGUCCAUUCAGUUAUUUUUAUACCACCGUGUUUAAAAGGAUUCUUCUUCGUCUAUCCCCUGCCUAGCUACACCCAAACAACUAGGCAUUUGUUCGGGGCUACAUUAUCCUCUGCACACAAUUUGGCCUUUUUCCCAUCUGUUGAAGUCUUUUUGUAUUUGUUUGAGGCCAAACACCUAGGCUGUCAGCUUUGGGUAAUGAGGUGUCUGGAAGGGCACUAUUGUCACUCUUCCAACAGUCUUAUAAGGGCUUUAAAGGUAAAUUUUUGAAGAUAUGCUGCAACAAAAGGGAUCAAACCUUUCUGGAUGGGUUUUUAUUGUAUUGGACUGAAAAAUCGCGCUUCCAAGGUGCUCGGCGCCUGGAAGAUCUGCCUCAGCGCGACUAGGAGGCCUGCCAAUUCUUGUUGAGCUUAAAGGUGGUCUUCGAUACUUCCUUUCUCAUAAGCAGAGAGUUCACCCUCGGGGCUCUAAAGUCUUAUAUUGGUACUCUUCAUUCCCUACUCUUGAUAGGGCUAACUUUGCUAUUGUUGCUAACUACUUCUUGUCCUCUUUCGUAGAUAGUAUGUUGGCUAGGAUUGACAAGAAAGAGUAGGCGAACACGACCAAGAGGAUGAGGGCGGCUGCUCAAGUGCCUCAGGAUCUUAAGCUCAAAGCUCCAACCACUGUCGUUCCAGCCUCUACUGAAGAUGAUGAGGAAACGAAUUAUGGGUUGGUCUUCAAAAGUAAGAGGAAAGACAUAGCCGCCCCUAUCGAGCAUUCCCACUCAAAUGGGUGGGCUCCUUCCUACCGCGCUCCCUCAGCAAGUCCAACCCUGCCAUGCGACAUGAUGGUGGUGCAAGAGGAAGAGGGAAUGAGCUCCAGGGGAAAGGGUUUAUGGGACCUUGACUUGGACGUCCCCUCCUUCCUUGAGAAGACCCUUCUACCCAACGAGGAGAAGGAGAAACUCAUAACCCUCGAGGAAGAUCGCUUGGUGCACGAAACCAUGAGGCAACUGGGGCAAGCCCUUGCUGCAAGUUUCUUUCUCGUCACUAAGUUAAAAGAUUGGAGGGUCGGCGGGUCAAAAGGCUCAAGAGAUUGUUGAGCUCCAUAAAGGAAUGGAGAAUCUUCAAGCCAAGCUUCGGCAAUCCAAACUCCUACGCCAAGAAAUGGAGAGUCUUCAAGCAGAGCUUCAGCAAUCCAAACUGCUACAGAAGGAAACUGAAGCCCUAUUGACUGAGAAGGCUAAGGAGGCCUCGAGCUUGACUAAGGAAAAGGAGAAAGUCUUGGCAGAGGUUGAAAAGAUCAAGGAAGAACUAGCAUUAAAAGAUGAGGGCAUUGCCAAAGAGAAAGAAGCCUUCAAGAACGAUGCCCCUCAAUCCUACCUUGUAGGGUUUGACGAGGCUGUCGAGCAAGCCUCGGGCCUUCAUCCCGAAAUCAAUUUCUCCCAACUUGGCCUGGGUAAGACCGUGAUCAACAGGCAGCUUGUGGAGGAGUAGCCUAGUCUCCAUCUUUCAUGUAACUCAUAAUGCUUUGAACACUUUGAACAAUAUUGCACAUUUUCUUUUAUAAGCACUUUUUAUCCAUGCAUGUUAACAACAACUUUAUUUACUAAUCUAGCUAUUUAACUUAGUAAAUUUCGACUAGCGUAGCUAACGUAUACUUCAUUAUUUAACUUAGUGAAACAUGAUUAGCAUAAGUUUAAUAUCUAUUGAUAACAUACCAAUCAAAUACUUAUGCCAACCCUCCGAGCUAAAAUGACAACAGACUCAAUGUAUAAACCAAGUAUGAAAAAUCACGGUGCUCUUAAAGAACUAACCUUUUUAUGAACAUUUUUACCCCCUAAGCAGGAGUCAUAUACUUUGACCUUGCUAGCCAUGGCUUCACAUACUCGAAGAGCUGCACCUUUCUAAGCUUGGUCUUCUCAACCUGCGCUAAGAAUGAUUCAUCUAUCUUCUUGAAACAUCUAACCCAGGUGGUCGCUUACACACCAAGUCAACUCCAUUUUAGCCCAAACAAUCACCUUCACCACACAUUACUUAAUCACUCCACAAAGUGCUCGAAUUCAGGUGAUCGUCCUCUCGACAGACUACCCUGACUUCUUAGAUAAUUUAGUCUCAAUACUCAUCUGCAGAGCGCUCGAACUCGGGUGGUCAUACCGACGCCGAGGUAGGUCAUAUUACCUGCCUAUAGAUGACCAAUUUUUACAUAGAGCGCUUGCUCAGGUCAUCUCACCGAGAGAGGUUGAUAUGAAUCCACUAGCAAAGAAGAGAUGAUUCUUUGACAUUCUAUGGACUCAACUUGAGUUGGAGAUAGCUUAGGCACUUAUAAUAGAAUUGGAUCAAGGUUCUAUGUUUCAAGAACUCACCAAGACUUGCACCAAACACCAAACUCAUAUGGAGGAGCCAUCUAUUGUCAAUUGAACCGAACAAAUUGUGUAAAAAGGCAAAGACACCGAUUAAAACUCUUAAGAAAGCCAAUGAACCGAACAGAAUUAUGAAAAGAAGCUACUGAACUGGAUUAAAACAAAAUCAAAUGAAAACAACCGAACAAAAGUGCAAGGAAAGGAAGAUGAACCGAACAAAAGAAACUAAGACAUGUUUAAGCUUCAUAUAAAAUGGAGAUGAAAGAAAGAAGAACUUAUGGAGAUNNNNNNNNNNNNNNNNNNNNNNNNNNNNNNNNNNNNNNNNNNNNNNNNNNNNNNNNNNNNNNNNNNNNNNNNNNNNNNNNNNNNNNNNNNNNNNNNNNNNGGGUGGAUGUCCUCUUCCUUCAUUAAUAAAAGCCUCCUUUAUUUGAUUCUCAUCAUACUCCUCGAGUUGGAGAGAAUUCGUCCAUGAAUUAUGAAUCCCUGCAUAUAACAAAGUCAGUUUAUUUUUACAAUUAAAAGUGGAAGAAAAAGGUAAACAUGACUUAGCAUUUGUAAACAAUGGGAUUUCAGAAAAGGAGGUUCUAGAAAUCGACCAAGUUGGAAAAAUUUGUUUGGGAAUGAUGUUAUGUUUUGGAAAAAUACCUCUUAAAUGGUGACAACCAUUAGGAGGUAUGAACAAAUCAUCCCUAACAUUUUUUAACCAAGAUGGUGGUGAAGUAAGAACCUUUGGUAAUGAAAAAGAUAAGGAAGGAAAACACCUUGGAUGUGGAAGGAUAAGACCCAUGUCAAUUUGGCCUUCUCUGUCUUUUUCAUUUUUACUUGUGGUAGGUGGGUGAAUUAAGUCUUGUUUUACUUUGUUUAUCUUUAAGAUUUGCUUUUGUGGACAAUGAAGAGCUAUGUGCCCAAAACCUAAACAUUUAAAACAUUUGAUAUUUGAUGUUUUGGUAGGUGACUUAGGAGUAGAAAGAUUUGUAGUAGAAACAUUUUUUGGAAACAUGGUUUGUUUGGAAAAAUUGGAAGGAGAAAUAUAAGUAGAAAUUUUGUUUGCAUCCUUCCUAUAAGAGUUGUAGAAAUCAUCAUCAUGAGUAUUUUUGAAAGUUUUUUCCAAAAGAUAUGAUUCCACCUUGAUGGCUUUGCGAAACACUCUCUUUAAAGAAGAAUAUUCUUUUAAUUCUACAAAGUCUCUAAUAUCUCUUCUCAAACCACGUACAAACCAUUUAAUCUUUGACUCUUCAUUAGCAUGCAUAUUCAUUUUAGUCAAAGUUGUUUCAAAAUCUUUAAAGUAUUCAUCUACCAUCCUAUGUCCUUGAGGAAGCCUUUGGAACUUCAACAAGUGUUCCUUCCUAGAAGGAGGAACAAACCUCGCGCGCAUACGCUCUUUCAAAGCAUUCCAAGAAACCACGGGAGGUUUCUUGCGAUAUAUAAUGUCCAUUACAAUUUUAUGCCACCAUUCUUUGGCAUAGCCCAAAAAGGAUAAAGAAACUAACCUAAGUUUAUCGUCAUCUUGGACCUUAUACACAUGAAAAUAAUGGUCAACCUUAGUCUCCCAUUCUAAAUACACAUUAGGAUCACUAUCACCAUUAAAACUAGGGACUUGUCCACAAGAAAUGUUGAACACUUGGUGAUAUCUUUGGUCACGUGAUGUGAUUCCACUAGCCAUAUAGAGAAAGGUUCUUGACCUUCUUAGGAAUCACCUUGAGUUGGACAUUAUAGAGGCACUUUUCUUAGAGUUGGAUCAUUGUUCUAAGACAAGAACUCACCAAAAACUAGUACCAAAUCCCAAACUCAUUUGGAUGAACCAAUUAUAGUCAAAUUGAACCGAAUAAGGUGGAAGAAAAAGCAAUUGCACCGAACAUAUUACUUAUAGAAUGAAUUGCACCGAACAAAUGAGCUAGAAAAACAAAGGAACAAGAUGAAUGGGCUGAAAUAUAAAACUGCCGAACCAAAACUCAUAAAAAACAGCAUGAACACCAAACCAAAACUCAAGAACACAAGCUAACAAAAACAAUAGAAAGAGGAGGAAGGAAGGAGAAGAGAGUGCUCAUGAAGAUGGAAGGAUGUUGGAUGAUCUCGCCACUAGAAGUGUGGAAUGCUCCUAGAUAAGAGUGAUGCCGCCACUUGAGGACUCCAUUGAUCCAUCAAGAUAAGACUAGAGAAGAGGGCUCCAAAAGCUCUCCAAAGUUCACUCAAAAUUUGAGUAGAGUUUUCUUAGAUUAAUUCCAAUCUAAAUUUUACAAAGAGAGCACCUCUAUUUAUAGCCUAAGGUGCUGAAAAUGCAAGCUAAAACAAUUCAAAUUUCCCCCCUAAAUUCAAAUGCAAGUGGCGCCUAAACCAAGACAUGAGGAAGGUGUGAUCCCUUCUCUCACUUUGGCACCUCCUUAUUUACUCCUACACCUAUCUACUAACACACCCCCCCUAAGACUCCUAACUAAAGACUAAAAGAUGCUUUAACAAUAGAGGUUUCUAAUGUUUCCCUCUAAGCAGCUUUCUAAACAAUAUUUAUUUAAAACUUGGCCUUGCCCUUCAUGGGAUGGUCUUUGGGCUUUUGUGGGCUUUGGCCUUCUUGGGCUUGGGCUUUAUCUUUUGCAAAGAUUAACAAGAAAAGCUUUAAAUGUGAAGGCGAAUGAUCUUGUUCUUCAUUAUAAAAAGCCACCUUUAGUUGAUUCUCAUCAUCACGGUUAUGGCUCUCUUCAUAAGAAUGAUGGUGAUGCUUCCUUCUUCUAUGUUCCUCUUCACGGCCUUCUUGGGCUUGGGCUUGGGCUUUGGGCUUGGGCCUCAUCUUUAUUUUAUGUCUUCUUUUAAUUUUGAGAAGACUAGAAGGAAGAACUUCAAAUGUGAGGGUGGAUGUCCUCUUCCUUCAUUAAUAAAAGCCUCCUUUAUUUGAUUCUCAACAGAGGUCGCCUUACUUGCUUUACCUGAACCACAUUGAACUUUAGAGCGCCUGAACUCGAAGUCUUACCAAGAAAAGGUCGCCUUACUUGAAUCACGGAUAAACCACUCGUACAUAGAGCGCCUGCUUAGAUAAUUUCAUCGAGACAGGUUGUCUUACAUGGCAUUAAACAAUCAGUUAUACACACAUGGCGCCUACUCGGAUGAUCUCACCGAGGCAAGUCGUGUUAUCGUGAAUAAACAAUUCUAAUGCACCAUCUUUCAAGAACAAUUUUUCAUUGGGUGACCUCGUUAAAAAACCCUUUAAAGGGAAAAAUAGUGUCCCCUUAACCAUUACAUCGUUCAUAAAGAAAGCAUUAUCAAAAUGUAUUACUUGAAAUAAAAUUUAAGAUUCACCCCAUUCCAUGUUCGAGGUAUAGCUCCCCCCUCGAGGGUUUCAAGCCUGUAAGCUCCGUUCCCGAGCGCCUCUACUACGUGAAUGGGCCAGUCCACGUUGGAGAUAACUUAUUCUCCAGCUGAUAGGGGUGAGCCUUUCGCAUCACCAAGUCGGCAACCCGAAACUGACAAAGCUUUUACUUGGUCUUUUGCUCCACCCUUCUCUUCAAAGCCUCAAAAUUAAUGCAAGCUUGUUCAUGCACUUCAUGUAGCUGAUCCAGGUACACCUUCCUUCCUUAGUUUGACUCCUCAUUUAAUGUGGCCCUCUUGGAUCUCUACUAGUAUCAUGGUGUCUAACCCAUAUACCAAACUGAAGGGUGUCUCCUUAGUCGUUGACUGAUGAGUAGUGUUAUAAGCCCACAAAAUACGAGGAACUUCUUCCGACCAAGUUUCCUUGGCCUUCUCCAAUCUCCUCUUCAACCCUCUUAGUAAGACUUUGUUGGCAGACUCAACCUGGCCAUUCGUCUGAGGGUGUUCCAGCGAGGAAAAUAUCUGUUUGAUGUCGAGCUUCAUGCAUAGCUUGCAUAACUGUUGACUUGCGAACUGGGUUUCGUUGUUGGACACCAAGUGUCUAGGGAUCCCAAAAUGGCAUACAAUGUUCUUCCACACAAAAUGCUACACCUUGUGAGUAGUUAUUUGUGCGACUGGCUCGACCUCAAUCCAGUUUGUGAAGUGUUCAAUGGCUACCACGAGGUACUUCAGUUGAUGAAUUGCCAAAGGGAAAGGACCCAAGUUGUCUAUCCCUCAGGUAUGGAAGGGCCAUGGUAGAUGGAAUGCCACUCCUCAACUGCUGCGUGGUGCCAAUCAGCGUGCUUCUGACACUCCUUGCAUCGUUGUGCAUGCCUCAUGCAAUCCUUCUUCAUGGUCGGUCAAUAAUACCCAACUCGAACGAUCUUCAACGAGAGAGCUCUUCCUCCGACAUGACUGAUAAGUGCCUAAUUUCAGUAAUAUUUUAUAUUAAAAUAUAGGCACUUAUGAGGAUUUAUUGCUAAUUUACAUAUAAAAUAAUCCCUAAUUUAUGAAUUUAUACCUUUUUACAUUUUUAUGAGCUUUAUUUGAAUAAAAGCAUUUUAUUCCCAAAUUUGGUGUUAAUUGCAGAUUUCUAGGGAAGAUUGAAGAUUUGAAAUAAAGGAGAAUAAUUUGAGCUAAAAAGAUAAAGCCGGAAGAUCCCAGAAUGGAAAAAGAUGCAAAGAAAGAUUGAGCUUUUUUUAUGUUUUAUCAUUUAGCCCAUUAGCGCGACACAGGAAGCAACCUAACCCUAGAAAACUAGGAUAAAUAGAGGGCUAGAGGCUCAACCCUAGUGUGCCAGAUUGAGAGGAAAACACCAUAGAGUGAAUUGUAACCCAAUUGGGAGAAUGGAAGGUGCUAGAAGUAUGCGUGGCUAAUUCUACCUUUGGGAUUGGGAGUAAUCUGUUCAAACUCUUAUGUAUUGAGGUGAUAUCUUAUAUAUUAAUAUUCAGUUCUUGAUUGAUUAUUGGUAUUGUUGUUUUACUUUUAAUUUUCCGUGACAAGUUGAGAAUCUUAAAUAUGACCGGGAGGUAUUUUUAGGGUUCGGACCUAAACAACAAUACUUAACAUAUUUGAGUGCUAGGAAUAGACUUGAAAUGUUAAUUGCUAUUAAACGUCUGAGCUUCAUUCUAAGUUGUUCUUAUAAUUAUGCGAGGGAUCGAUAGUUAGGGGACAUUCUUAAGGAUUUUAUGUGCGAGGAAUCGAUAUAAAUGAUUUUUAUACGGGCAUCAAUUUCAAUCAAAGAACUUAAUAUUGACAUGCUAAUCAAAAUACUUGAGAGUGAGAGAGAUGAAACUAAUCCUUAUUUUUCCAAUUGAAACAACUAAUUCUUUGUCUGUUUUCUUAUUGAUCAGUGCCAACACAAUUAAUUCAAAACUCUUUUAAUUGUUCUGUUUUUAUAUUUAGCGAUUAUUGUACUCGAUAAUUCACGGUUCCUUGUGGGAUCGAUAUUCGUCCUUAGGGACAAUUAUUACUUCUGACAAACGUGGUGCACUUGCCUUAAAAAGUCAUCAAUGACUCUCACAAAUGCCUUCGUGGAGCUCCUUCAUGAUGCGGGUACACUGAUCCCCACUUACAUAAGUGAGGAUGGGUAGGUAUAACCAUGACGAAACAAUUUCCCAUCUACAAGGGUAUACUUCUCCUCAUUCCUCUUAAAUGCCUUUGCCUCUGUAGGUUCUGCAGGGAGCAUACCAUCAACUAGAUAGCGUUGGUAGGGAGUUAUCGAAGUCUUCAUCGUGUGGACCAGCAGGGCCUUCAGAGACUCAUCUCCCAACAAGUCAUAGGUGGUUAUUCUUGGCACUUUUAAGGUCUUCUGUGUCAACGACCGAUGCCUUCUCCCUUGUUGCGAGCUCACCCCCAAGAUCUUUACGCGGUUGUCCUCGGGUAGCCCCCCGACAGUUGUCCUAGGUGACUUCAAGGUCUCCAGAAUGACUGACCUCUGUCGGCCUCCCUUUCCCGAGCUUGCUAGUUUGGACAACAAGUCAUCUCGAGAGUUUUGUUCUCUUGGGACAUGCACUAGCUUAAACAUGGAGAAAGUUGCCUUCAGAAGUGAUCCUGCCGGUUGACUUAGCACAAGAGCGUUGCUUCGUCACCGUCUUCCCCACCAGCUUGUCACCACGUGUCCUCCAAGCCCAUACAGCAGAUAACCUCUCUGAGAACCUGAAAAACACACAGUGGCGCCUCGGCGGCCGGUGGCGCUCCGACGCUCAAGUUAGUGACAAGAACACCCAAAAAACUAAGAGAAAAAUAUGCUUUGUAGGACCGUACUGUAGGCACACAACCCUAGCAGUAUCAGCCGUAAUGAAAACGUACCUCUGCAAAUUCUGUUAAGGUUACCUUUAUAGCUAGGUUUCUUCUCUCUCCAGGCCGUUAUGCUUUUGGACGAGUAGCUCGCAUCCAGCCCUGCACGUGUCGCCAUCUGGGCUGGGAUAACAGGUAGCGCCCAGCCCUACACGUGUCGUCAUCUGAGCUAAGGCAACUUGAGCGUCAUUUCUCCAUCGCUCCCAACCCUAGACGUGUCUUCAUCUAGGUUGGAGUAACUGGUGACAUCCAACCCUACACGUGUCAUCAUCUGGAUUGGGACAACUUGAACGUGAUUCUUGUGUAGUAACCAGCCGCACAGCUAAGUCCUCAACUCAAGGAGCAACCUAGCACAUAAUGUGCUGUGAAACACCACCCGACAUGGCGAGUAUCGGAUGCAACAAAGUGCAUCAUCUCUAUGAUAUCGCUCGCCGCGAAUGGCACCCUCCUUACUGCUACGCCAUGCAUGUUCUAGCUGGGGAAACCUUGCCACCAACGAAUGUCCACUCUGGGAAUCCUGUCGCUGAUGUGCAAGGUGUUCCCCCCAACCCACUCGACCUUCAUGCCCCAUGCUGGUGCCACAAUCGUCUUACUGAACUUACACGCUUGGAAUUACCCUUCUGAGCCUUCAACAGCCUUAACUAAGUUCGCUGGGAGACCCGGCGAUGUGCUCCUUGUGGCGGCGUGUAAACCACCCGAUCUCCUAGCAUUCUCAUAUGGCGACUGCGACGUAACUCUGGUGACCGCCGGUUACGCACACUAGAGAUCGGAGAACGCCAAUUCAGCGAUCGGCGACUAUGCCCACUUCCGAGCCAUUCAUCUUUUCUAGCCUACGCGUUCCAUUGAGCACGCCCCACUCGAGCACGUGCAAGACACGUCAUCACGCCUGAUGACCUGGUCGGUACACAAGCCUCUUAGUCUCGAGCUGCGACUUGUUCGACGAGGAGACUAAAGAGGUUUAAAAUCCGGCAGCUUUCGUGACUUUGCGCGUUGGCGCUAGAACUGUUUACUGACUUGACAUUUCACCAACUCCUUCGAUCGUUCGACACAUGGACCCAUCAACGGCCAUUGUUCGCUGUCGUUUGCGCUUCCUACAACGUUCGAAACCCUUAAACCCUUCGCGCUAUUCACUGUUUCAUUAUCUUUCUUCACCUUCAAGCAUUCUGAACGCUCUCUCUGCGAACUGCGAAACCUACGCCUCCCUCAAUCUUCAACUUCUUUCAACACUCAUCUGAUCAUCAAAAGGUAACUCUUUUACUCCUUCUACUGAUACUUGUUGCAUUUUAAUCGGUUUGCAUCAUCCAUUAACUCUCGCUCGUUCGUUUUGUCUUCUUUGUCUUCGAUCGAGUCAUUCUUUUGCUAUCCUCAUUUCCUCCCUUUUCUUUCCUUUGCAGUUCCUGCGAUGGCUCAGACAAAGUCCACCGCUAACCCACCUUCCUCAUCGCGAAACCCUCCCCCCAAUACUCGUAGGGUUACCACUGGGACAAACCCUCCACCAACACGCAACCCCCCACGAGCCUCUGGUGCCCCUUCCUCACACGCUGAGAGGCCUGCCUCAUCCCGUGCCAAUCUUACCCAAGCAACUCCACCACAGGCCGGGGGAGUCUCCCUUCCUUCUCAAGACUACAAAAAGCUCUACCCUUGGGCCUCCCCGAUUCUACUGAAGGAAACUUCAUCGAUAAAUACUGAUGUGGGGGUACAUCGNNNNNNNNNNNNNNNNNNNNNNNNNNNNNNNNNNNNNNNNNNNNNNNNNNNNNNNNNNNNNNNNNNNNNNNNNNNNNNNNNNNNNNNNNNNNNNNNNNNNNNNNNNNNNNNNNNNNNNNNNNNNNNNNNNNNNNNNNNNNNNNNNNNNNNNNNNNNNNNNNNNNNNNNNNNNNNNNNNNNNNNNNNNNNNNNNNNNNNNNNACCAAGCUCAACAUCGCCCCUGCCCAGCUCCAUCCCAACAGCUGGGCAUUCGUGAGGGCGUUCCAGAUCCUUUGCGCGCACUUGGGGCUACCAUCUUCGGUGGAUGUCUUCCUCUUUUUGUUCGAGGCAAAGAAUCCUGGAGAUCGCCCCUGGGUCAGCCUGAACGGGAUUGCUGGGAGGUCAAUCCUCUCCAUCUUCCAGCAAUCCUACAAAGACUGGAAGGGGAAGUUCGUCAAGGUGUGCCAGAAUGAUCAAGACCCUUCACUGCUUGACAGCUUCCCCUUGUAUUGGGUAAACAAGGGGCACAAGGACCCCAAAGACAACUUCAGGAGACCAAGAAGUCCUGACAACAUGGGGGAGUUGGACAAAGACCUUUGUCUCUUCUGGAAGAGUGUGGCUUCUGCCAACAUCACCUUCCCCACUGCUCAGAUAAUCUCCUUUGAAUUCCUUGAGGACCAACUCGAAAUGUACAUAGGUUAGCCCCUUUCCCAACACCAAAACUCUCACUUUGCGUUAAAACUGACUUAGCAUUUUUACCAUUCUGUCUUCGGCAUUCCAUUAUUCUUUAUUGGCCUUGAUCAUUCAUCCAUGUGCUAUUCGCUUAUGUUAUCUUUGUAUGUAUAUACUUGCAUGUUCUGCUUCCACUUGAGUUACUCAUCUAUUUUUACCUUGUGCAGACGCAAUGUUGGGCAAAGGAAAACUGGCUGAAUUGAGGGCGAUCGCCCGAUCCCACAAACUUGCGGCGGGCUCUCAAACGAUCCCGAACUCUGUUGCGGAGAUCGCCGCCGCCCAGGGCCAAUCCCCACCAGUUGGUCCACCCGCUGCUGUCGCUCUUCCAGCCCCCCUACGCAAAAAACUACCUCUUAAGAAGGCCAAAAGGAAAGCCCCUAGGGUAGUAUCUGACGAAGAGGCGGACGAAAGCACCGAGGACGGGCUAAUCUGCAAAAGGUCCAGGGUGGCGGUUACCGAGCCCUCAGCAAUUGGGAGCGCCGCUCCAAACUUCAUCGAGGACCCCCCCAGCGCCUCCACACCAUUCGAGUCCGCUGGGGAUGUUCUCGUUUCAAACGCUUCAGUUGCUGAGGCCGCUCCUGAGCAACUCGCUGAUACGCAAGCCUCCUCAGAAGCUGCCGAGAAGCUGCGUGCCUUACCACCACGCCUCGAAGCUCCCCCCGCCGUCCAACCUUGUGAGGGUGGUGGUGAACACCAACCUUCGCCUCCACCAGCAAAUUCAGGCCUCCCAGCCGCUCUUCAAGAAGCUUUCAAGUCCUUCACCGUGUGCCUAAGUGCCAUGGUUGACGAUUGUCUUCCCCAAAUCAUCGGCGAAGGGCUCAAAGACUCCUUGGAGAAGUUUGAGCUCGACAACCGGAUCAACCAAGAGGUGACAAGCACCGCGAAAGCUGAAGCCGAAAAAACCAAGUGCGACAUGAUGAUGCAAGGCUUGGAGUUUUUACGAGUUGAAAACGCCCUCAAGGACGAGCUCCAGAGCGUGCGGCAAGAUAACAAAGAGCUGCGCAAGAAGCUUCAUGAAAAACUCCAAGACGCUGUCGAGCUGGAGAGCAAGAUCGUCCCUCUGAGGGAGAAAAUUUCCGCGCUGGAGGAGGCAAAGAAGACUGACGCUCAGAAGAUGGUCAACCUAGAGAAGAGGUCAAUCGAGAGAGAGACCCUUAUGGGAAAGGUUGAGCAAGAUCGUGAUAAGGCCUCCCAAGAACUCAGUGAAACUGCUGCUGAGCUAGCUCGAGUUCGCGAGGAGAACAGCGAGCUCAAGAAGAAGGCCGACAAGCUCGAGCUUGAAGUCACCCAGGUUCGUGAAGAGAACAGUGGGUUCAAGACGAAGAUCAACGAGCUUCAGCUUGAGGCUGCCCAGGUUCUAACUUCCGGCUUUGGCGUUGCUUUAGAGCAGUUUGCUUGCAAAUAUCCUGACCUCGAUCUUUCUGAGUUCUCGGUGUACAACGAAGUGGUGGACAGCAAAAUCGUGCCCCCGAUUGACUUAUCUCCUUGAAAACUCUUAUGCUUUACCUUGGUCUGUAAUAAUUUUCAUUUUGUUCAAACUGUUCGAUGCUCGUAUGCACAUAUAUACAUAUAUAUAUAAUCUUCUAAUUUAUCUGCUGCACAAUCAACUGGUUUAACUAACAUAACUGGCGAAACUUACUCGGCUGCAUGAACUCAGCAAUACUUGAACUUAACCCUUCACAUACCGCUUCUGACUCGAGUAAAUUGCUAACCUUAUGACAAACUUAGCGAGCUAUUAACUCAAAGUAAAUUUGAGCAGCAAUCAACUCUCCGGCAAUGGCACUCAAUAAAACUUGUGAACUUAGGGUAACAAACCUUAACAUAAAAUCACUUACUAUGCAGCAGGUUUUAACUCAAACUAGUAUUAAAAUACAGUUUACCUGAUCUGCUAAGUGAAGUGCCCAUUACUUCCCUCAUUGCCUGGAACUCUUCUAGUCUGGCACUCGCCAUACAACCCCUCCACUGUCUCAACCUUCACGCCAUAGGGUUCUGGCGAUGUUACCUUUCUUCUUUGUAUAACUUGAUCAUUGUUCUCUCAUCUGGGGGUAAAGGCGCCUUUCGGAUCCUUCUCUACCUCCUGAGUUUUAGAACAAUGAUCUGGAUAGCGAGGUGUUCUCUUCGAACCUACCUCAGUUAUCCUUUAUCUUCUUCCACCCUUCACACCGCACCUGAGAUCGUUCAAGACGAGAAGGAUUUUAUCUAUCUUCACACCGCCCGCAAGUGCGGAAGCUUUAUAUGGUCUUACUGGGUCAAUAUUGAUGUUUCACUUAAAGGGGAAAAAGGCGUUUUCCAUCGACCUUCCCUUCUUGCCGUUUAAGGUCACAAACACCCCUGACUUUUCAGUUUCAUCUUGCCUGAACUCACUCUGGGGUGAGAAGGACUUUCUCUGGUGCCUCAACUUGCCCAGGGUGUACAUCUCCUCCCCCCUGGAUGCACUGAGGACUUUUAAUCUUGCCUCAAUCUACUUAUGCAAAGAGGCCUUUCAAUCUGUUCUUGCCUUCACUCGCUCAAAGGCGAGGAGGACUUCUUCUAUUUCUCGCCUGCACUCGCUCAAGGGCGAGGAGGACUUCUUCUUUUGCCUUAAAAUGCACGAGGGCGUUGAGGGCUUUUUACACUACUGGUGCCUCCGAUCGCCGAAAGACGAUGAGGUCUUAAAACUUUUAACUGUUGUCACCGAUCGCCAAAAACGACGGGGACUUUAAAACCUUUACUACUGAAGCAUGCAAUAUGACUUUAAUGUUGCCCUAGAUCACGUACGAGUGAUAAGGUCCUUUUUUUUCUAAAACUUUCGAAGCAAUAAGCAUGCAAACUUGGAAGCUUUAAACUUGAAAAACUCUUCUUUAUUGGGUGGCCUCAUUAAAAACCCUCCUUAGGGAAAAAAGAGUGCCCCCUUGAAAUUGUUUUAACAGAAACUAUUCCAAUCUCGUCAUGUUCGUCUUUACUUACAAGGCUUUAACUGUAAUACAACUUGAGAUGUGUGGCGUUCCAAGUGCGAGGAAUCGCCCCUCCUUCUAACGUCUCCAAGCGGUAGGCGCCAUUCCCGAGCACCUCGGUUAUUCUGAAUGGUCCCGUCCACUUAGGCGACAACUUGUUCUGCAUCUCAUACUGAUGGGCCUUCCUCAUCACCAGAUCGCCACUUCUAAACUGCUUUGUCAUUACCUUAGAGUUGUACCUUCGCUCAAUUCUUCUCUUUACUGCUUCGGCCUUCACUCUCGCCUCCUCCCUGACCUCAUCCAGCAAAUCCAGAUUCAUUCUUCUUUCUUCGUUCGAGUCUUCCGCCACAAAGUUCUGGAAUCUCGGCGAGCUUUCCUGGAUUUCGACUGGAAUCAUCGCAUCACAUCCAUAAACCAAACUAAACGGGGUCUUGUGGGUUCCUGACUGCUCAGUGGUAUGGUAUGCCCAAACUAUGCGGGGUACCUCUUCAGCCCACGAUCCUUUAGCUUUUUCUAAUCUUCUCUUUAAACCUCUCAGCAACACCCGAUUGGCAGACUCCACUUGGCCAUUCGUCUGUGGGUGCUCGACGGAUGCAAACACCUGUUGUAUUCCCACCUCUUCGCACAACUUUUUCAAAAGGUGACUUACAAACUGAGUCCCAUUGUCUGACACCAGGCGUUUAGGCACACCAAACCGGCACACUAUGUUCUUCCAUACAAAGCUCUCGAUCUUGUGUGCGGUGAUCUGGGCCACUGGCUCCGCUUCGAUCCACUUGGUGAAGUAUUCGAUCGCCACUACCAAGUACUUCAUCUGCCUGACCGCCAGUGGGAAGGGUCCCAAAAUGUCAAUUCCCUAAGUAUGAAACAGCCAGGGGCUGUAAAUUGACUUCAGCUCUUCUGGGGGUGCCUUGUGCCAAUCGGCUUGCUGCUGGCAUUGCUUGCAACGCUGGGCGUAUUUCUUGCAAUCUUCUCUCAUCGUGGGCCAGUAAUAGUCUGCACGGAUAGUCCUUGUCGCCAGCGAUCGACCUCCAAUGUGGCUCCCGCAAAUUCCCUCAUGGAGCUCAGCCAUAAUCCUCGUGCACUUCUCUCCGUGUAUACAUACAAGAAGAGGGUGUGUAAAUCCAAACCUGUACAGCUCGCCGUCAAUAAGGGUAAACUUGCUGGAGCUCUUCUUUAUCCUUCUGGCCUCAGUUGAGUCAACUGGAAGCACACCAUCUGCUAAAUAACGUUGGUAAGGCGUUAUCCACGUGUCUGGUUCGUGGACAGCGCAAACCUGCAUCGGUCUUGCCCUUUCCGCUGGGCGCGCUCUAACCCUCGGCACCCUCAGAGUUUCCUACGUUAGGGAUCUAUGACUUCUCGCCGGUCUUCCCAUUGAUCUACAAACAUGGAGAACUUGGUGGUCUGCCACGAAUGCUCGAGGCGCUUUCAAAGUUUCUUGAAUGACAGUCCUCUGCCUGCCCCCUUGCCCGAACUGGCGAGCUUGGCUAGCAAGUCAACUCGAGCAUUCUGCUCUCUUGGCACGUGCACCACUUCAAAUGACAUGAAAGAUCUCCUUAGCUCUUGCACGUACUCCAAGUAGGCUGCCAUUUGUGGGUCCUUGGCUUGGAACUCGCCAGUUACUUGUCCGGUGACCAACAACGAAUCGCUCUUGGCCAUCAGCACCCUCGCCCCCAUUUCCUUAGCCAGCAGAAUUCCGGCGAUCAAAGCCUCAUACUCUGCUUGGUUGUUGCUUGCUUUGAAAGCAAACCUCAAUGAUUGCUCUAUCAACACUCCGUUGGGCCCUUCCAAAAUGACCCCCGCCCCGCUGCCCAGCUGGUUGGAUGACCCAUCAACUGAGAGUACCCAGCGAAAGUCACCCUCGGCGUUCUGUGCCACCUCAGAGGACAACUCGACCACGAAAUCGGCGAAAACUUGUCCUUUGAUCGAUCCCCGGGGUUCAUAUCUGAUGUCGAACUCCGAAAGAUCGACUGCCCACUUCACCAUCCUUCCAGCCACAUCGGGCUUCUUCAAAACCUUCUGGAUUGGCAGAUCGGUCAUGACCAGUACCGUGAAGCUCUGGAAGUAAUGGCGCAAUCUCCUCGCCGAGAAUACAACCGCCAAUGCUGCCUUUUCUAGGGCCUGGUACCUUACCUCCGGGCCUUGCAACACCUUGCUAACGAAAUAUAUAGGCCUUUGGAUCUGAUCCUGAUCUUGCACCAGCACUACGCUGAUCGCCCUCUCAGUUAUGGCAAAGUACAGCCCGAGCGGUGUCAUGAGUUGGGGCUUGCACAGAACUGGAGGGCUCGCCAAAUAUUCCUUGAGCUUUACGAAGGCCUCCUCACACUCCUUUGUCCAAACAAACCUGUGGUCCUCUUCAAACAUUGGAAGUAUGGGUGGCCCUUCUCUCCGCUUGCCGAUACGAAUCGGGACAGGGCGGCCAUCCGCCCUGUGAGUUGCUGCACCUCCUUCACAUUGGCGGGGCUCCUCAUUGCCAAAAUGGCGGCGCACUUCUCGGGGUUAGCCUCAAUUCCCCUCUCUGACAGGAGAAACCCCAGAAAUUUCCCUGCUUCUACACCAAAAACGCACUUUUCAGGAUUCAGUUUUAGCUUGUACCUGGCUAUCGUGAUGAACAACUCUUCCAAGUCUGCGACGUGCUUGUCUUUCUCCAGGGACGUCACGACCAUGUCGUCGAUGUAUGCUUGUACAUUCCUUCCGAGCAUGGGUGCAAGCACCUUGUCCAUCAGCCUUUGGUACGUAGCCCCUGCAUUCUUCAACCUGAAGGGCAUUAACUUGUAGCAAUAACAUGACCUUUCCGUCAUGAAGGCGGUCUUCUCUUCGUCCAUGGGGUGCAUUUUGAUUUGGUUGUACCCCGAGAAGGCAUCCAGAAAACUGAGCAGCUUGCACCCUGACGCACUGUCUACCAGGGCGUCUAUGAUUGGCAAAGGGUAAGAGUCCUUCGGGCAGGCCUUGUUCAGGUCCGUAAAGUCAACGCACAUCCGCCAUUUUCCGCUGCUCUUCUUGACCAGGACAACAUUAGCGAGCCAUUCUGGAUAUUGGAUUUCCCUGAUGUGGCCUGCUGCAAGGAGUUUCUAUGUCUCUUCUUUGAUCGCCUGCCUCUUCUCCUCAUUGAACUUUCUUCUUCUUUGGCGUAUCGGCCUGAUCUAGGGGUCCAUUGCCAAACGAUGGCACAAAAAAUCGGGAUCGAUUCCCGGCAUAUCUGAAGCAGCCCACGCAAACGCAUCCAAGUGUCUACUUAUCACCUUGGCGAUUUGGUCUUGCGUCUUGCUAUCCAGGGUCCUUCCCAACUUAAACACCUUGCCGCUGAUCUCCUUCUCGAGCCAUUCCUCUACUGGCUGAGAUUUCCUUUUGCUGGCGAUCAGCGCUCUCGCGAUACCGAUUUCUCUGGCGAUUUGUGAGCAGUUUCUUUCUCCCUUCCCGCUCUCCGGCCUCCCCUCUACACUCCCCAUCGGCACAUCACCCUCGGCGACCACCUCUAACGCCGAAUCCGAAACUCGCCGGGGUUCGCGCUCUGGCUCCACGCCAGGGGGAGGCGUUGUGGUUACGUGGCACACAGACCUCUUGUUCUUGAGGCUGUUUUCGUAACACUUCUUCGCCUCCUUCUGGUCGGAGCAAAUAGUGAUGAUCAUGCCCUCCAUAGAAGGCAGCUUGACCUUCAUAUGCCUUGUCGAAGGCACAACUCCUGUUCUGUUGAGCGUUGGCCUUCCCAACAGUAUGUUGUAAGCUGACGGGGCGUUUACAACAAGAUACCUGAUCUUCUCCGUUCGUGAGGCCAAGCCGUCAGUGAAGGUCGUCCUCAGCUCGAUAUACCCCCUCACCUCCACUUGGUCGCCGGCAAAACCGUACAAGCAGCCCCCAUAUGGUCUUAGUUGAUCAGGGGACAGUUGUAACUUCUCAAAAGUUGGCCAAAACAUCACAUCUGCUGAGCUUCCUUGGUCGACCAGCACCCGGUGGACGGUCCUUCCCGCCGUGACAAGCGAGAUCACAAUAGGUUCGUUGUCGUGAGGCACCACGUUCCUGAGGUCCCCCUUGGUGAACGUGAUGUCCACGUCGAGCGAAUGAUCCUCAAAGAUUUCCACUGACAUUUCCACCCCCCGCCGGAGAAUCCGCCAGCUAUGGUGUGGAUCUCGCCGUGAAUGGGCACCUCGUGUUGUUGCCCUCCGCUGCUUGCCGGUUGAGACCCUGACGCUUGGUCCGCUUGCUUCUCUAGCAAGUAAUCCUUCAGGAAACCACAUUUGACCAGCUCGGCGAGCUGGUGUCCUAGAGCCAAACACGAGUUGAUAGAGUGGCCAAAACUCUUGUGGAACUCGCACCAUGCGUCUGGCUUUGGCCCCAAAAUCUUCUCCGUCGUUUUCUCAGGCACUUUGAGCUUGGCAACAAUGUUUGGGAUGGCGAUCAAAUCAGCCAAACCCAUUACAAACUCAUACCUUGGGGGGCGAUUACUCUCCCUGGGGCGCCCUGGUCCCUCGCUCUUAUUUUUGUUAGGGUCGUAAGGAUGGCGCGUCCUUUGAUCCCUCUUUCCCGCCGCCGUCUCCGUUACCCUCUGCGGUUGUACCCGUGCUUGGGCGCGCGGUUUAGUUGGGGCCACGUUUCCCCUCUUCUCGGUGACCUCACUUUCGGCGGCGAUGUGAGCCACAACACGUUGUCGGAUUUCAGCAAACGUGGCGGGGUGGCUCCUGAUGAGCGACUCAAUAAAAGGCCCAGGUAACACGCCCUUUUUGAAGGCAUGCACGAACAUCUCUUCGUCCUUUCCGGGCAAACGGACUAUCCGAGCUCCGAAUCUGUUCAGGAAAUCCUUCAGGGACUCCACUUGGUACUGCCUUAUAUCAAACAAGUCGUAAGACACCAAAGGUGGCGCCUUGUUCACUAUUUACUGCUCAACAAACAUCUUGGAAAACUGUUCGAACGUGGUAAUGUGGCCAGUGGGUACACUGACGAACCAAUCCAACGUCGUUCCGCUCAAAGUGCUCAUGAACACCUUACAAUACACCGCGUCUGAGCCCCCUGAGAACAUCAUCUGAGUAAAAAACGCCGUGAGAUGGGCUUCAGGGUCCUCCACCCCAGUGAAAGACGCUUUCACUACCACAGUGUUAGCCGGGAGCACCGAGUCCAUGAUCUCUUGGGAAAAUGGCAUAGGAAAGCUGCAUGGUGGGGAUGGGGGUGCAGAUCUGUCCCCAGCCGCACGCUCCUCCCGCUCCUGAAGGGCUUUGCGCAGCUCUUCGUUGAUACUGUUGAGCUCUUUGUUCCUUGCUUGCGAGGCCACCAGCGCCUCGUGCAUCCUUUCCUGUUCAGAACGUGAUGCAGCCACGUUCUCCUGCAGCGUCCUCAUCAUGUCCAUCACUUGCGUCAUAGACACAGCAUCUUCGUCUGUUGAUGGCGCAACUGAACUGGAGCGUGUUGUCCUCAUCCUUCCUCAGCAAACUCAACAGUUCAAAGAACUCCAAACAAACGGUGAAAACUCCAGGAAUCGACUGCGAUAGCGAGCAGUCGAACAGGAAACACCAAAACACCACAAACACGAACUAUGGUUGGGAAUCACCUUUUAUACGGCCCCACGGUGGGCGUCAGAUGAUCCUGCCGGUUGACUUAGCGCAAGAGCGUUGCCUCGUCACCGUCUUCCCCACCAGCUUGUCACCACGUGUCCUCCAAGCCCACACAGCAGAUAGCCUCUCUGAGAACCUGAAAAACACACAGUGGUGCCUCUGCGGCCGGUGGCGCUCCGACGCUCAAGUCAGUGACAAGAACACCCAAAAAACUAAGAGAAAAAUAUGCUCUGUAGGACCGUACUGUAGGCACACAACCCUAGCAGUAUCAGCCGUAAUGAAAACGUAUCUCUGCAAAUUCUGUUAAGGUUACCUUUAUAGCUAGGUUUCUUCUCUCUCCAAGCCGUUAUGCUUUUGGACGCGUGGCUCGCAUCCAGCCCUGCACGUGUCGCCAUGUGGGCUGGGAUAGCAGGUAGUGCCCAGCCCUACACGUGUCGUCAUCUGAGCUAAGGCAACUUGAGCGUCAUUUCUCCAUCGCUCCCAGCCCUACACGUAUCAUCAUCUAGGUUGGAGUAACUGGUGACAUCCAACCCUACACGUGUCAUCAUCUGGAUUAGGGUAACUUGAACGUCAUUCUUGUGUAGUAACCAGCCGCACAGCUAAGUCCUCAAGUCAAGGAGCAACCUAGCACAUAAUGCGCUGUGAAACACCAUCCGACAAGGCGAGUAUCGGAUGCAACAAAGUGCAACAUCUCUAUGAUAUCGCUCGCCGCGAAUGGCACCCUCAUUACUGCUACGGCAUGCAUGUUCUAGCUGGGGAAACCUUGCCACCAACGAAUGUCCACUCUGGGAAUCUUGUCGCUGAUGUGCAAGGUGUUCCCCCCAACCCACUCAACCUUCAUGCCCCAUUCUGGUGCCACAAUCGUCUUAUUGAACUUACACGCUUGGAAUUACCCUUCUGAGCCUUCAACAGCCUUAACUAAGUUCGCUGGGAGACCCGGCGAUGUGCUCCUUGUGGCGGCGUGUAAACCACCCGAUCUCCUAGCAUUCUCAUACGGUGACUGCGACGUAACUCUGGUGAUCGACGGUUACGCACGCUAGAGAUCGGAGAACGCCAAUUCAGCGAUCGGCGACUAUGCCCACUUCCGAGCCAUUCAUCUUUUCUAGCCUACGCAUUCCAUUGAGCACGCCCCACUCGAGCACGUGCAAGACACGUCAUCACGCCUGAUGACCUGGUCGGUACAAGAAGCAUAACAUACCUGAGGUACGAGGCUAACUGCGGAUCCUUAGCCUAGUACUCACCUAUGACGUGCCCGGUAACCAACAACGAGUCACUCUUCACCAACAAACUUUGAGCACCCAACUCCUUGGCCAACAAUAUCCCUAUCAAGGCUUCGUAUUCAGCUUGGUUGUUGCUUGCUUUGAAGGCAAACCUCAGGGCUUGCUCGAUUAACAACCCGCUUGACCCUUCUAGAAUGACCCCAUCUCCAUGCCGUGUUGGUUAGAGGAUUCCUCCACUGAAAUGACUCACUGGAAGUCAUUAGGAUUUGGUUGAGGACCCUUAGAUGACAACUCUACCAUAAAAUCAGCAUACAUUUGGCCCUUGAUAGGCCCUUGGGGUUCAUACUGCAUAUCAAACUCAGACAACUCAACUACCCAACGGACCUUCCGACCUGUUAUGUCGGGCUUUUGGAGGACGUUGCGGAUGACCAAAUCAGUCAUCACUAUUACAGUAAAGCUGUGGAAGUAGUGGCAGAGCCGCUGAGUUGUGAAUACCACUGCCAAAACGACCUUCUCAAUGGCCUGAUACCGGGUUUCUGGCCCUUGCAGCACCUUGCUCACAAAGUAGACCGACUUUUGGACCCUAUCUUGCUCUUGCACAAUGGUCGAGAUGAUUGUUCGAUCUGUGAUCGUAAAAUAAAGACGAAUGGGAGUACCUGGCAACGACUUACAAAGAACAGGUGGGCUGGCCAAGUACUCCUUCAACCUGGUGAAGGUCACUUCACACUCACGAGUCCAUACAAAUCGGUUAUUCUUCUUCAAGCAUUGAAAUUAAGGAUACCCCUUAUCUCCUCUAACGAACAAGAAUCGAGACAAGGCAACUAUACGUCCAGUUAACUGCUGGACUUUCUUCAAGAUGACAGGGCUUCUCAUUCCUAUGAUUAUCGCGCACUUGUCGGGCUUCGCCUCUAUACCCUGUUCAGCGAGAAAAAACCCAAGGAACUUCCCUGCUUCCACCCCAAACACAUACUUUUCUUGGUUCAGCUUCAAGUUGUACUUUGUUAUCAUAGUGAAUAGCUCUUCUAAAUCAACAAUGUGUUGAUCCUUCUCUUCUGAUGUGGCGACCAUGUCGUCCACAUAUGCCUGCACACUUCGCCCAAUCAUUGGGGCGAGAAUUAUGUCCAUCAACCUAUGAUAAGUGACACCAAUAUUCUUGAGGCCAAUGGGCAUGACCUUAUAGCAGUAGUUAGAGAGCUCGGCCGUGAAGGAAAUCUUACUCUUACCCCUGGGGUGCAUACGAAUCUGGUUGUACCCCGAGAACGCGUCUAGGAAACUCAACACUCAACAACCUGAGGGACUGUCCACCAAGGAAUCUAUACUUGACAGUGGAUAAGAGUCCUUGGGACAGGCCUUGUUUAGGUCGGUGAAGUCGACGCACAUCAUUCACUUCCCAUUAGCCUUUUGUAUCAACACAACGUUACCCAACCACUCAGGAAUUGGAUUUCCCUUAUGUGGCCAGAAUUCAGAAGCUUCUGCGUCUUUUUUUUUAUGAUCAGAUGCCUUUCCUUAUUGAAUUCCGUCUUUCUCUGGACUACCGACCUGACCUUUUCAUCCAUAGAGAGCCUAUGGCAUAAAAAAUAUGGUUCUAUCUCGGGCAUGUCCACGGAUGACCAAACGAAAGCAUCCAUGUGCUUCGAUAUUACCUCGACUAUCUUGUCCUGCAAUUCUUGACAUAUCGACGUGCCGAGCUUGAACUUCUUGCCUCCUAUUUCCUUUUCCUGAACCUCACCAGCAGGUCCAGGUCGCCUUUCAUUGGCGAUUUCAGCUUGCAUAAUUUCUUCUAGCUCUUCCGCCUGAACAGUGAUUGAGUAUGUUCCCCUUUUACUUUUCAAGAUACUCUCAUAACACUUCCUUACCAUCUUCUGAUCAAGCUUGAUGAUGAUCACUCCUUCAUCAGGGAAGGCAACUUCUUCUUCAUGUGCCUCGUUGAGGACACUGCAUCCAACCUGUUCAAAGAGGGUCUUCCCAAAAGCAAAUUAUAAGCUGAAGAAGCAUUAACUACAAUGUACCUGACGUUAAUCAUCCAAGCUGAGGUGCCAUCUGAAAAAGUUGUCUACAACUCGACAUAUCCACGUACUCUCACCUGAUCUCCCGCAAAGCCAAACAAGCAACCAUCGUACGACUUUAGCUGGUUAGAAGACAACUGAAAAUUAUUGAAUGUCGACCAGAACAUCACAUCAGUUGAGCUUCCCUUAUCAAUGAGAACUUAUUGUACCUUUCUUCCAAUAAAAAGACAUAUAUCACCACCGAAUCAUCUUCGUGAGGGACCACAUCCUCCAAGUCAGAGCUCAUAAAGCAGAAGGCGGGCUCUAGUGGAUGGUCAGGUUUCCUCGCCUCAACUAUCAUCACUUCUCUCGCGUAUCUCUUAUGCUUGGAGGUAGUGCACUGUCCUCCCAAGAAUCCUCCCGAGAUGGUGUUCAACUCUCAAUGGAUCGGUACCUCAUGCACUUGGUCCCUAAGAGCAACCUCUUCCUUCGAGACUUCCUGGUCCCCCUCAAGGUAUUCCUUUAAGAAUCCUUCCUUCACCAAACAUGCCAAAUUCCCCCUCAAGGUAACCUAGAGCUAUACAUCGCUCAACAUCGUGCCCAAAUUCCAUGUGGAAUUCGCACCAGACCUCCCUUUGUGGACCAUGAUUCCUGUCAUACUUCUGAGGGAAUUUCUACUUUUUUACAACCCCUGAUAUGCUCAACAAUUCCUUGUAAGACAUUUGGAAUUUAGGUCGAAAUGGAAAAUCUUCUCAGGCCUUCGCCUUGGGGACGUUCUUCCUGGUUGGAUAUGGUGCGCGCCUCAAGUCCGUCCUCUUCUCGGUUGUGGUUUCGUUGACCCUUAGAGGUCGAGAUCGGCUACCCUCCUUAGGUUUUAAGUACCUGGAUAGGUGUUGCUAAGCUUCACAGACACUGCCUCCUUCGCAUUAAUGUGGGCGACAACUUGUCGUCGUAUUUCGACAAAUCUCUCUACCAGAUUUCUGAUCAAUAAGUCACUAAAUGGUCCUGCCAUGACUCCCUAUUCGAAGGCGUUGACCAUCAGGGCCUCGUCAUGGGUCUGGAGCUUCAUUGUAAACGCCCAUAACCUGUUUAAAUAGUUUUUUAGAGACUCACCAUGUCUAUGUUUCACGCUGAAGAGAUCAAAUGAAAUCGGAGGUUUUGCUUGGUUGAUAGAGAACUGUUCCCUGAACAGCUCGGAAAAUUGGUUGAAGAAGGUGAUGUGGCCAUUAGGAAGCCCACUAAACCACUGUAGGGUUGUACAUGUGAAUGUACCCUUGAACAUCUUGCAAUCGAUAGAAUCUGUUCCCCCAGAAAUAAUCAUUUGGGCAUUGAACAUCGUAAGAUGGUUUUCAGGGUUUUCUACUCCUUUGAAACGAUCUUAGGCGUAAUGUAGUGUGGUAGCACAGGCGACUCCAUGAUCUCCUGCGAGAAUGGCUUGGGACGAGCUAUCGGGGGCGCAUUAGAACCUCGCUCCCUUGUAAAGCGUUGAUCAAGUUGUUGUAGAUUCUUGCGCAAUUCAUCAUUGGCCUUGCGCAAUUCCUUACCGUUCUCUCGUGACGCAUCUAUCUCCGGCAUCAGUUGAUCUUGCCUAAGAAUUUUCUCAACUCUAGCUUUUUCAUAAGCUUUUCCUGUUCGGAUUUAGCCUCGGUCAUUAGCAUGUCCUGCUCAGCUUUGGCUUCUGCCAUCAGCCUUUCCUGCUUGAAUUUGGCCUCUUGUUGGAUCCACUCCUGCUCUCGCCUGUAUUGUUCGUUGGCUUCUUGGAGAGCUCUCACAGUGUCCAUGAGCUGUUGUAGGGUGGGGGCGUCGUUCCCUUCAUAUCUUAGCGCUCUUUGCCUAGUGUUCCUCAUAUCGCUGGAAAACUCAAACACAACUAUGGAUGGGAUCAAUUUUUAUCGGGCCCCACGGUCAAAUGUUCUUGCCGGUUGACUCUAGUGACAAGCUCUAACUCUGGUCUAUCUCCUCUGGAAUCUGUUCUACGUCUUAUUGCACUGGAACGUGGCUCCAUUGAAAUAGAAGGGACUCCAUCUGUUUACAUGGGCACCCUUACUCAUGGUGCAACGUUAUAUUUCACUAUGAAUGCAACUUAACCACUACGUGCCGUAAAUGCACACUUAGGUUAAAAUAUAUUUACGUGACUUAACCACUACGUGCACUAACACGCACCCUUAGGUUAAGAAAUAUCUUUUACUAAUAACCUUAUCUUAGAGUAUCAAAAUAUUAUUUCAAUUAUUCUCCAACGGGCUUACUAGUAUAACUGGGCUAAACUCAUGACCCACCUUAUAGGCCCAAUAGACGAGCUGACCUACCUACACCGUGCACCGAGUUCCAAUCACUGAGCACUGAGCACUUUGUACAAUACAAUUAGUAUAUAUCAAUUUAAUUAGUUAUAAUACCUGCAAAAGACAUAUGCAUAGUUAAAACAAGUAAAGAAAAUUACCCUCACUAUAAUCGGUUUUGCUAAUCUAACUGGCCAAAGAAUAAAAUUCCAAGGGGCCUGUCCCAUUGUCUGAACCUCCUUAGUAGGCAUAAGGAUUCGAGAAACAACAUCUCGAACAUCUACAACCACCACUCUUAUCAUAUCAUCUGCAAUUGUUUGCUGGUGGAUGGUUGACCCUAACAUGUACAUUUUACCUAAGGCAACCGAAUAAUGUAAUUGAAAGAAAAUAAAUAAUAUAAUUAGAUUAAACAUAUAUGCAUCAAACAAUAUCUAUAAAAUAAAAAUUAGCUAAGGCCACUAAGCACUUAGAGGGAUCAUCAAUGUACAAUUCGCAAUCUGCAAGGAUAGUAGGACCAGCCUCCCCUGAUCCUUCAGGAGCAUCACAACUCCCCUUUGUACUUAUACGAAUAGGGGAAGGCUUUGAAGUGGUAGCAAAAGGUUCAACAAACAUGGAUGCUAACUUUGCUCGCAUGUCUAAUAACAACUUUGUCUUCAAUUCAGAGUAUACUUCCUUCUUAGUUUCCUUCCUAAUCUCUUCUUUGAGGGACUCCAUCUCGAUUUGACUAAGAUGUGAUUUACUAUAAUACCGAGGUGGAGGACCAAAGAAUUUCAGAUGCCUACCUCGUCCUGCAAAUUAUGUUUAUGUGCAGAUGGGUUUAAUCCUUUUGGUCAAUAUGGAAAAAGUUACUCUUAUUAGCUAGUUAUCCUAACCCCAUACAACUUUCGCCUUCCAUAUGCAUGAAGAGGGUGUUUAUGUUUUGACAGUCUUAUUUCCAAGUCCUUUAAAUCCAAAGCAUAAGAUUGAUGUGUUCUUGCAACCACUCAUAGAUGAGUUAUGCACCUUAAGGACGAAGGGAUAUUGACUUAUGACGUGUCACUAAGGCACACUUUUAUGAUGAAAGUUGCUUUGAUGUGGAGAAUUAAUGACUUAACAGCUUAUGGCAUGUUAUCGGGUUGGUUGGCUUCUGGUAGACUUGCUUGCCCUAUAUGUAUGGAAAGAACAAAGACAUUCUAUCUUAGUCAUAGCCACAAGAUAUCCUUUUUCGACUGUCAUCGUCAGUUUUUUUCACCUGAUAAUUCAUUUUGGAAGAAUAAAAAGGCAUUCAAGAAGAAGUUUGUUGAGAGUGAUCCCCCUUCUCCACGUUUGUCUACUCUUGACAUUUGGAAUAGGGUUGCACACUUACCAAUUUGCACUGAAUUACAAGAACAAAAAAAUAUUCUUGAAUAUGGUAUUAAACAUAAUUGGAAGAAACAAAGUAUAUUCUAGAGGUUGGCAUAUUGGAAAACUCAACUUUUACGUUACAAUAUUAAUGUUAUGCACACAGAGAGUGUUCAUGAUUGUGUUUGACACUGUGAUGGAUAUCAAAGGGAAAACUAAGGACACAAACAAGGCUCGAUUGGAUAUAGCACAAAUAUGAAAUUGAAAAGAGCUAGAGUUGAAAGACAUUGGUGGUGGCAAACUUAUCAAACCAAAAGCAACAUAUGCAUUUACCAAUUCCCAAGAGUCUUUAUUUGUAAAUAGGUUAAAGAACUUAAGUUUCCAUAUGGAUAUGAUUCCAAUUUGGGUAGAUGUGUUUACCUUAAUCAAGGCAAGUUAGAGGGCAUGAAAAGUUAUGAUUGUCACGUGUUCAUGCAACGAUUGCUUUCAAUUGCAUUUGACGCAUUACCAAAAUCAAUUUGGAAAGUUCUUAUUGAACUUAGUCUUUUCUUUAGAGGAUUAAGUUCGAAAACACUAAAUGUUGAACACCUAAGAGUUAUGGAAGAAAAUAUUCUUAUGUUAUUGUGUAAAUUGAAACAAAUAUUUCCACCAAGCUUCUUUGAUUCCAUGGAAUAUCUUUCAAUUCAUCUACCUUAUAAGGAAAAAGUUGGUAGUCCUGUCCAAUAUCGUUGGAUGUAUCCAUUUGAGAGGUAUAAAAUUACUAAUAACUUUUAUAACAUUUUUUGUUUAUUUAUUUAAUAUUUUAUAUUAUGUACACCCGUAUUCUUUUUUAGGUUUUUACACUCCCUAAAAAAGAAAGUAAAAAAUAAAGCUAGGGUGGAAGACUCUAUUUCUAAAGCUUACUUAGUGGAGGAAACAUAUACAUUUGCCUCAUUUUAUUAUCCUGAUCAUGUUGAAACAAGAAGGACUAGGAUCUUUCAUAAUCUUGAAGUAGGUGAGAGUUCUUCAUGUGCUCCUCCUAUUUCAAUUUUCAAUUAUUCAGGAAGAGAAAUUGGAAAAUGCAUGACAUAUUAUCUAAACCAAAGAGAUUUUGAUGCUUCUCAAUUGUAUGUGUUAGAAUUGUAGGCCUAAAACAAGAGGGGGGUGAAUUUUUUUAAAUUUUUUUUUUUCAAACUUUGAAGGUGUGGAGAAAGUUAAUGAAGAAUCAAAAACAAAGGAAUGAAAAUGCUCAAGUUACAAAACUGCUUUGUUGAUUUCCAGAAAAUCAAUCGAUUGUUUUUGCGAUUCAACCGGUUGUUUUUAUCAGCAGUUUAUAAAAACAACUAAAAGCAUAUAUAAUUGAGAUUAGGGAAAGAGAGAAUCACACAAACAAAUUUGUACUGGUUCACUUUUACACCAAGAGCUACAUCUAGUCCCUAGAAAUCACUAGGUAUUCCACUAUGUAAUCAACCACAGAUUACAACCCCACACACACACCAAAGAAGUGAUCUUGAACCCCUAAAAAACACAAACUUCCUUUAGCAAUACAACACACGACAAAUCAGAACACCCUCGACUCUGUGCAACACAAUUCUUUACAUAAAUACAAAGAUUAAAAGAAGAGGAAAGAGUACACCUGGAUCAAUUCACAAAAUAAAAAAAUGACUUAACACAUAAUAGUCUGAUGAGCAUAUAUUUAUUCACACUUAAUAGCUUUAAUCAUAGAUUAUUGGACUAUAAUAAUAAAUAAAUCUGUUGUUUUAAUUAAUAUUUGUACCGCCCUGGUAGUCGGAAGUGAUGACGUGGCAUCAAACUAUUGUAUAGGCGUGUUGAUGGGAUGCCUGGCUGGCAGAAGGGAAGGAAGUCGAGGGGCUCGUGUAGUCGCCAGUUAUUAAGUUGGCGUGCUCCGAUCUCCAGCACACCAGAACCGGCGGUCACCGGGUUGAAGAUGAAGUCGCCAGAUGUAAACCCAGGCGACCAAGUGAUUAGAGAUCGUCGAAACAAGGACAUCGCCGAAGAUGAAGGCAGAUAGACAUUUCCCAGCUGGCCAGAGGAUGAGGUCGGGGGACAGCUUACUUGAGCAUAUACGAUGAAACAGGCGGUGCAGAUCAUGAAGGCGGCCGGCGAGACCACAGGGAAGGUGUGUACGAAGGCACCCAAACUCGCCAUCCAGAAGAGAUCACGCUCCAAGGCAACUAUGCACUGAGUAGUAUCAUGCAUAAGUAACUUAGCCAAAAGAGAGUCAGAAGUAGCGCCCAAGUCAAGGAUGCUCCAGAUGAUGGCACGUGUACAGCUGGAUGCGAGCCACGUGUCCAGAUGUGUAACUGCCAGGAGAGAGAAAGUGUCCAGGUAUAUAAGAGUUUCCCAACGAACUUCUGAGGUACGCACGUUCAGAUUGUCUUCUUUACGCUUGCGAGUCUUGAGUAUACUGAGAGAGAACAUUGCACGGUUCCUUGAGAGUUCUUGAGUGUUACUCUUAGUAAUUGGUGGUUCAGUCGCUGACUUGGGCGUCGGAACGUGAUCGGCCGCAGCAACGCCGUUCUGUUCUUUUGCAGGUUCUUGAGGUGAAUCACGGUGAAAGACGGAGGCUGACACGGCGCACACGUCAAUCCAAGUUUGACGAGGCAAAGCUCCAGCGUUCUGGUCAACAGGCAGGAUCAUCAGGCGCCCACCGUGGGGCCGUGUAAACCUGUUCCCAUCCACAGCGCGAGUUCUUGGAGGUUUCUGCAGUUUCCGUGUGGUUGUGUGCUGGUGCAACCAUUGUCCGCUGUUCAUCUAGGUUUUGUUCGGUGAUUUCGCGUUUUCCACCGUUCGUUUGGAUUUUUGUUCGGUGAGGUGAACGUUCUUGCUGCUUACGCGAGUUUUGAUCGGUGAGAUCUGAGUUCUUUGGCUCGUUUGGUUUUUCGUGGGAGAAGCGUCAGUUUCUGGUGGAGUUGCAGGUUUUUGUGGAGGUUCGCUGUGUUCUUGAGGUUUCUUUCGGAGUUUCGCGAAAUUCUGACCGAUUGAUCGCUGAAUUGAUCGUCGCUGAAGAAGGUGUUGUUCAUUACUCUCUGUGAUUUGUCAAGUUUUCAUGAGAAAAAUGAGAAGCAACCGUUCAAGUCCAGUUGCGCCCGUUGCCGCUGAAGGCGCCAUGACUAUGGCGCAUAUGGUGGAAAUCAUGCAUUUGCUGCAGGCGAAUGUGGAAGCCUCGCAUAUAGAGCAGGCAAGAAUGCACGAGGACCUGGUCGCCUCUCGGGCCAGGAAUGACGAGCUUAGCAGAGUGACUGAAGAACUGCGUCAAGCUCUUCAAGAACAGCGAGGGCGUCCAGUCGCUGAAGAGGUCGCGCCGUCAACGCUGCCUCGCGUUUUACCUAUGCCUUUUGCUCAGGCGAUUACCGACACGCCUAUCCCUGCGAGUGUGGUACCUGUGAAGGCUAUUUUCACCGGCGUGGAGGAUCCUGAAGCUCAUCUCACCACGUUCCAUACGCAGAUGAUGUUGUCAGGAGGAUCAGACGUCGUGUACUGCAAGAUGUUUGUGAGCACACUCCAGGGAACGGUGCUGGAAUGGUUUGUGAGCCUGCCUACAGGUCACAUAACAAACUUCCAACAGUUUUCAAAGAUCUUUGUCGAGCAGUACAUCGUGAACAAGGCACCGCCCAGGGUGUCUUAUGACUUGUUCGACAUAAGGCAGUAUCAGGGAGAGUCCCUCGGGGACUACAUGAAUCGUUUUGGGGCGCAGAUGGUCCGAUCGCCGGCCAAAGAUGAAGAAAUGCUGGUCUACGCAUUUAAGAAGGGCGUGCUGCCGGGACCAUUCUGCGAAGCAUUGAUCAGGGCUCACCCUGCCACGUUUGCUGAGGUCAGGCGACUUGCGGUGGCCCACAUCGCCGAUGAGAGUGAGGUCCCCGAGAAGAGAGGAAGCGUGGCUCCCGCUAGGCCACGCGCCCAGACCAGGAUCCAGCCACAGAGGGUGUUGGAGACAGCGCCGGCUAGGAGGGAUCAGAGGACUCGCCAUCCUUACGAUCCAAGGAAGAACAAGGACAGGGGCCAAGGGCGCCCUCAACCAGCACGCCGGGAGUACAAUCGCCCGCCUAAGCACAAGUUUGUCAUGGGAUUGGCGGACCUGAUCGCCAUUCCCAAUAUAUCAGCUAGGUUGAAAGCGCCCGAGAAGGUGGGUGACAAGGUGCUGGGACCAAAGCCAGACGCCUGGUGUGAGUUCCACCAGGGCUUUGGCCACACCGUGGAUUCGUGCUUGGCUUUAGGAUACCAGCUCGACGAUUUGGUCAAGAGCGGGUUCCUAAACGACUACUUGCUGGACAGAAGGACGGGGGGCGCGUCGAGCUCCCAACCAGCAGGUGGUGAGGCUCAGCAGCACGGGAUGCCUACACACGGGGAAAUCCACACCAUUGCAGGGGGUUUCUCGGGUGGUGGAUGCACCGCGUCACAAAGGAAGAAGUACGCGAGGUCUGUGAUGACGGUGGAUAUGUUUGAAGACCACUCGCCGGAUGUGGACAUUACGUUCACAAAGCAAGAUCUUCGGGACGUUGUGCCUCAUGACAACGACCCCAUAGUCAUCUCGCUGAUCACAGCAGGAAGGAAGGUCCACAGGGUUCUGGUGGACCAAGGAAGCUCGACAGACGUGAUGUUCUGGCCGACUUUCACGCAGUUGGAGCUACCCCUUGACCAGCUGAGGCCCUAUGGAGGGUGUUUGUAUGGUUUCGCUGGUGACCAGGUGGAGGUCAGGGGGUACAUUGAGUUGAGGACUACGUUUACAGAUGAGGCGGGUUCGAGAACAGAGAAAAUCAAGUACCUUGUCGUAAAUGCUCCCUCAGCAUACAAUAUUCUGUUGGGAAGACCCACGCUCAACAGAAUAGGCGCUAUACCGUCGACCCGGCACAUGAAGGUGAAGCUGCCGUCUAUGGAGGGGGUGGUGAUCACCAUCAAGUCCGACCAGAAAGAAGCGAAGAAGUGCUAUGAGAAUAGCCUGAAGAACAAGAGGUCGGUGAGUUACGUGACAACCACCCCGCCUCCUGGUGUGAAGCCCAGACCGACGGUAAUGGAAGAGACCGCCGGAAGUGACGUGGUGAUGGCGGAUGCUGAGCUGGGGGAGGGGAACGCCGAUCUAGAGGAAGAAGAGGCAAGGAAUCGCCCUGAGGAAGCGAGGGAGCUGGGAAUCGCCAGGGCGGUGAUCGCCAGAGAAACCAGGCCAAAACCCGUCGAGCAGUGGCUCGAAAGAGAGAUUGGAGGAAAGAUCUUCAAGCUGGGAAGAUCUCUGGAGGUUGAGCUCUAGGACCAGAUCGCCAAGGUGAUAGAACGGCAUCUGGAUGCGUUUGCAUGGUCCGCUUCGGACAUGCCCGGGAUCGAUCCCGAUUUCCUGUGCCAUCAUUUGGCGAUGGACAAUCAGGUCAGACCGGUACGCCAGAGGAGAAGGAAGUUCAACGAGGAGAGGAGGCAGGCGAUUAGAGACGAAACACAAAAACUCCUCGCUGCAGGCCAUAUCAGGGAGGUGCAGUACCCUGAUUGGUUGGCCAAUGNNNNNNNNNNNNNNNNNNNNNNNNNNNNNNNNNNNNNNNNNNNNNNNNNNNNNNNNNNNNNNNNNNNNNNNNNNNNNNNNNNNNNNNNNNNNNNNNNNNNNNNNNNNNNNNNNNNNNNNNNNNNNNNNNNNNNNNNNNNNNNNNNNNNNNNNNNNNNNNNNNNNNNNNNNNNNNNNNNNNNNNNNNNNNNNNNNNNNNNNNNNNNNNNNNNNNNNNNNNNNNNNNNNNNNNNNNNNNNNNNNNNNNNNNNNNUUGGGUUGAAGAACGCGGGGGCCACGUACCAAAGGUUGAUGGAUCGAGUACUUGCACCAAUGCUGGGAAGGAAUGUGCAAGCGUACGUGGAUGACAUGGUCGUGACCUCGCCAGAGAAAAGCAAGCACGUUGCGGACUUGGAGGAGUUGUUCACUACGAUCGCCAAGUUUAGGUUGAAGCUGAAUCCUGAGAAGUGCAUCUUUGGCGUGGAGGCUGGAAAGUUCUUGGGUUUCCUCUUAACCGAAAGAGGAAUAGAAGCCAACCCUGACAAGUGUGCCGCCAUCUUGGCGAUGAGGAGCCCGACCACCGUGAAGGAAGUGCAGCAGCUUACAGGUCGGAUGGCCGCCCUGUCUCGCUUCGUGUUGGCUAGCGGAGAGAAGGGCCAUCCAUAUUUCCAGUGCUUAAGGCGCAAUAACAAAUUUGCCUGGACGAAGGAGUGUGAGGAAGCCUUCGUCAAGCUUAAGGAAUAUCUGGUGAGCCCGCCGGUUUUGUGCAAACCGCUGGUGGGAACCCCUCUCAGGUUGUAUUUUGCUGUAACUGAGAGGGCGGUGAGUGCGGUGCUCGCCCAGGACCAAGAUCAGGCUCAAAAGCCUAUUUAUUUUGUUAGUAAGGUGCUGCAGGGCCCCGAAACGAGGUAUCAGGCCCUGGAGAAGGCUGCACUGGCAGUAGUCUUUUCGGCGAGGAGGUUACGCCACUAUUUCCAUAGCUUCAUGAUACUGGUGAUGACCGACCUGCCCAUCCAGAAGUUCUUGAAGAAGCCCGAUGUUGCGGGGAGGAUGGUGAAGUGGGCAGUGGAGCUGUCGGAGUUUGAUAUUAAGUAUGAGCCCCGAGUUAUGAGGUAAUUUGAGUUAUGAUUACAUUUAAAAUGUUCUUCUAUUAUUCUACAAUGUUUUUUUUGUAAUUGAUUUUUCAUGCAGAAAUAGUAUAGGCAGGGAUCUGGAACAAGACCAACUUAUUAGAUUUAUUUUUUGAAAAAAAAGGCUCCCGUAUCUUUAAAAAUGCUAUGAAUAAAGUUAGGCAUGGUCAAGAUAAGGGGGCCUGAAUUCCACCACUUGUUCGAGCAACCUUGGAUGAAAAUUAGAAUUUUACAAAUUUAGAAAACAAGAGUGUCAUUGUCAAGGCAAAUCGGGGUGUUGAGAAGGGAGCCUUAGCCUAUUGUGGUGGUUCCAUAUCUACAACAUCUCACUUUGAGAAAAUGGUAAUAUUUUUAUGUUUUCUAUAUUUAAUUUAAAUACAAUAUAUUAGACUUGGUUAUUAAAUUAUAUCUUUUCAUUAAAUUUAUAUAUACUAAGGAGCUUGAACGACAACCAACUAUUUGGAAGACUGUAGAGAAAACAAAGAAAUUGAAAACUGGUCAAUGAGUCAAUGACAAGACCUGCGACCUUGCGGUAUGUUUAAACUUUAAGUUAUAAUUUACUUUUUACUAUAUGUUUUCUUCACAAUAAUCAAUUUGACUUUAUUUUCAGGAGAAAUAUAAGCAACGCCGAGGAAAAACCAAACAACAAUAGAUGCUUGAAGGCUCAUCUUCGCAAAACUCUCAUGAUGCCUCCAUUGAUGACAAUGAAAUAUACAUUGAUGUUGUUGGAGGUGGAAAUAAAAAAAGGGAAUGUCUAUGGUCUUGGUGUAUUGAGCAAAAGGUUUAAUAGUUCUACAAGUGCUCACUCUGCUACAAGCCAGACUCCUGAUAAGUGUCUGAUUUCAAUAAUAUUUCAUAUUAAAAUAUAGGAACUUAUGAGGAUUUAUUGCUAAUUACAUAUAAAAUAAUCCCUAAUUUAUGAAUUUAUACAUUUUUACAUUUUUUAUGAUCAUUAUUUGAAUAAGAGCAUUUUAUUCCCAAAUUUGGUGUCAAUUGCAGAUGUUUAGGUAUGAUUGAAGAUUUGGAGUAAAGGAGAAUAAUUCGAGCUAAAGGGAGAAAGCUGGAAGGUCCCAGAAUAGAAAAAGAUGGAGAAAAAAAGACUAUUUCGCAAUAGUAGUAUCUCGCUCAAGUGAGAUAUUCUCGCUUGAGCGAGAAUGCGUCAAAAAGAUUGGGCCUUUUUUUAUGUUUUAUCACUUAGCCCAUUAGCGCCACACAGGAAGCGACCUAACCUUAGAAAAUUAGGUUAAAUAAGGGGCUAGAGGCUCAACCCUAGUGUGCCAGAUUGAGAGGAAAACAACAUAGAGUGAAUUGUAACCCAAUUGGGAGAAUGGAAGGUGCUAGAAGUAUGCGUGUCUAAUUCUACCCUUUGAGAUUUAAAGUAAUAUGUUCAAACUCUUAUGUAUUGAGGUGAUAUCUUAUAUAUUAAUAUUCAGUUCUUGAUUGAUUAUUGGUAUUGUUUUUUACUUUUAACUUUUAAUGACAAAUUGAGAAUCUUAAAUCUGACCAGGGGGUAUUUUUAGGGUUCAGACCUGAACAACAAUACUUAACAUAUUUGAGUGUUAGGGAUAGACUUGAAAUGUUAAUGCCAUUAACCUCUGAAUGUGAUUCUAAGUUGUUUUUAUAAAUAUGCGAGGGAUCGAUAUUUAGGAAACAUUCUUAAGGAUUUUAUAUGCGAGGGAUCGAUAUAAAUUAAAUUUUCUACGCGUUUCAAUUUCAAUCAAAGAACUCAAUAUUAUCAUGCUAAUUAAAAUACAUGAGAAUAGGAGAGAUGAAACCUAAUCCCUAUUUUUCUAAUUAAAGCAACUAAUUCUUUGUUUGUUUUCUUAUAGAUCAGUGCCAACACAAUCACUUCAAACUCUUUUUAUUGUUCUGUUGUUAUAUUUAACGAAUAUUGUACUCGAUAAUUCAUUGUUCCUUGUGGGAUCAAUAUCCUUAGGGACAAUUAUUACUUCUGACAAACACGGUGCACUUGCCGUAAAAAGUCAUUAAAUUUUUGGCACGUUGCCGGAACAAGUUUGAUUUGUUGAACGUUGUCGGGAACAAGUUUGAUUUGUUGAGUAUAAUUUUUUAAAUAUUGUGAAUAUUUUAAUUGUUUCAAUUUUUUUUUAAUUUUGUGUUUAUAUUUGUUACUAUUUUUAUUUUGUUUUAAAAAAAAUUAUUUUUAUUUUAUUUUAAUUUUGCAGAGCUGUUAUUAUUUUAAUUCCUAUUUUGUUUUUAUUUGUUUCUAUUUAUUUUGAUUUUCUUUUGAUUUUAUAAUAUUUUAUUAUUCUUUAUUUUAGUUAUUUUUUUUAGGUUUAGUUACGUAGUUUUAUUUAGGUUUACAUAAUUUUUAUUUAUUUGUUUUAAUUAUUUAUCAUUACUAAUUUUAGUUUUUAUUUUUACGUAAACUUAGUUUACGUAGUAUCUUUAAAGUUAGUUAGUUGUUUACUAUUAUAAUUUUCUGCUUUAGAUUUAUUUUGUUUUUAUUUUACUCCUAGUAUUUAUUUGUUAUUUUAAGUAUGUUAUUUUGAAGUUUUUAUUUAUUUUUGUUUUAUAUUUUUUAUUUAUUCAUUUUUUUUUGUUUUAUUGUUUUGUUUUAUUUUGGUCUUUAGUUUUUAGUUUACGUAAGUUGUUAUCUAUAUAUUUUUUUUUUCUGAAUAUUUUCGUUAUUUUUUUUCUCUUAUCGUCAUUUUAGUAUUUUUUUUGUUUAUUCUUUUAAUUUUUGUUUAUUUUAUUUUAAAAAUUUGUUUUUAUUUUAUCUUCAAUUUUUUUGAAUUUUUUUUUAUUUGUUUUUAAUUUUUUUAAAAAAGAAAAUAAAUAUACUCUGUUUUUUUCUCACUAAUAUUUUUCAAGAAGAUAGCAACAUGACAGAAAAGGAGGCAACAGGACACUUGGAGAUUAUAUCAUGUACUGGAGGCCAAUGCAUUAUUCUAGCAUUGCAAUACUUGCUAUCACCAAAGCCUUGGAAAUAAAUCUCGAUUUUCUCACUCUCAUUAGUACCCAUCAAUUCAUAGUAAUGGAACAUGAGGAUCCAUAUUCACAUUUGGACACAUUUUAUGAAUUGGUGAGAACAAUGAGUUUUUAAUCAACUGAUAUUGAAAUUGUUUAAAUGCGUUUGUUUCCUUUUUCAUUGGCAAGAAAGGCUAAGGAUUGACUCAGAUCACUUCCAAAUCAUAGCCUCACUAGAUGGAAGGAUGUAAAUGAAAAAUUUAUGCAAAUAUUUUUUACAAUCUUUCGCUACAUCAAAGCAAAGUAUGAAAUUUAUGUGUUCAGACAAGGAGCAGAUGAAUCAUUCUGUGAGACAUGAGAAAGAUUUAAAAUGAUGCCUAGAAAAUGCCCAAAUCACGAGUUUGAAGAUAUUGCUCAACUGAGCAUAUUUCUCAUUGGUCUUAGAUCAGACACAAAGAUGUUGUAACUGGCGGCACAAUGAUGGCUCUUGAUGUAGAACAAGUGACAAGGAUUAUUGUUGCACUGGCGUCAACUGAUUAUCAAGCCCAACAUGAUAAACAAAAUACUCAUAAGGAAGGGUUGUUAGAAUAUGCACUCUUGGUUCAAAAUAAAAUUCUAACACAACAGAAAUGGCUAAAUUGCCCAACAAUUAUAUGUUGUUCAUUCAUCUCAAAGCCAGAGUUAAUCAACCAGGUUUGAUUUUUGUGGAGGUGGUCAUCCUAAUGGUCAUUGUUCUUAUCAGAACAAUUCACCUGAAGCUGAGGGGCCAUCCAUGCUUGAAAGAAUGAGUAAAGUUGAAGAUGCCCUAACAAUGCUUGUGAUAAUGGAAGAAAAUAGCAUGGCAACGAUAAGGAAUAUAGAUAUCCAUAUGGGAAAAAUGGCUAAACAAUUUGAAGAAAUACAAAGUGGCCAGUUUUCAGUCGACAGCCAAACCAACCCAGAAGUGUUGAAGAUGAGGAAGCUUUGAUGUAUCAAAUCCUCAUGGAACCUAAAGCUAUGUUACUUUUUAGGCUUGAGUUUA
rnacentral:lncRNA from 1 species